AUUAAGAGCCGCAGGAGUAAUCAUUAAUUAAUCCCAGAACAUAUAGAAGUACAAAAGCAAAGUACAUUAACCGUUCCAAAUUACAAACAGUAUAGUUCCAAAUUGCAAAGAGUACAAGUUUAUUUGUUCUCAGCACACCAGUUCAUAACUUCAUACACACAAAGCUUGGUUUUGUGGCAACCCGAAAUCACCAAUUAUUACAACACUUACAAAUUAAACCCAAACAGAUUGAGCAAACCAGCACAAUGACAACAUGUCCCUCAGCGAACAUUACCAGACGAAAAAUAAUACUCGGUCAUAAAAAACAGGUUAGAAAAACACUGUGAUGGAUAAAUGGAGAGGCCAACUGAGUUGUGUGCUUGACGCAGAGCUUUGUAUCUGAAACCAAACUGAUCACCUGAGGUAGCUUUCAAUGAUAUGUUUCUUGCGUGAUACAAACUCUGGUGGCGCCACAUGCAAGUAGUAGUAACUCUGCUCUGGUAGCUUCAACUGCAACCUGUUCCACCACUCACGCUCUCCGUUGACUCUCACCUUGUACUUUGGAUAUUUCUUCUUCAGGAAUGGGAGAUGGCGAAAGGAUUGGCAACCCCGGACAAAGAGCUUCUCCCACUUUGGCGUUUCAAACUGAAAUUUAACAAGAUCAUGGAUGUGCAGCAGUUGUGGAAGCUCCUGGAGGUAGAUGCUUUUGAUGUUUGGGAGUGGAGAAAGUUGUACCGCAUAAUAAGGUCCACAGUAGAAAAUUGUCUUCAGGUUGGAGCAGAAGAGAAUGACCAGAGUCUCCAACGCAGGUAACGACAUUGAAUAUGGGAAAAGUUUCUCCAAUCGGGGACAGUGCUCAAGGUGAAUGUGUUUUAGUAGCUUCAAAGUGACAGAGUCAUAGCGAGUUCUCCAAUCCCGCACAGGCUCAACAAUGCAUAGUAGGUUCUUAAGGCAGGAGGCCUGCAGUAUCCUUAGGGAUUCUAAUACCUCUGUGACCGGUGGUCUCAUUCUGAAUACAACAGUCAUUUGAUUGCAGUCAAGGAGCAGGCAUUCUUCUAGUGUCAUGAGACUAUUACUGAGGUCAGUAAGGCAACUGACGAAAUUAUCAUCUGUAAUGAAUAUUGAGUUUGUCACAGAAAGAAUAUGCCUUAAGCCAUUCGGGUACUGAUUCACUGCAGAUAUCUCAACAUGACGUUGUUUUGGCUGAAGCUUCAUCAUAGACACAACACUAGCAGGCUUAGAAUACUGGACAUCAUGAUAAGUUGAAUUCUUCUGGAUCAUGGUAGAUAACUCAGCUUCAUUGUUCUGUGGCUUCUUUCCUGUCACAUUGCAUGGUUUAACUUGGACAUUGAAUGACUGUAGAAACUGUCCUUCCUUGACUAACCUUUUAGAAGCAUCUUCAUUGAAGCUAUGGAACCUCUUUCUGCUGAUUUUCAUCUCCACAAGUUUUCUUCUGGUAAAACAUCUGCUGAAUUUGACUAUCAUCGUUUGCACAGUGAUCCAAAUAGAAAACUUUAGGAAACCGGACCAACUGAUGCCAUGGGAAUCUCCUGAAACAUGGGACGCCAACAAGAAGUAACAUUUUGAGUUGUGGUAGGUUUGGGAGGUUGUGAGGGAGCUCCUCAAUGGCUGUUCCAGAAAGAUCAACAUCCUCCAAUGCUCUAACAUCAUCACCAAAGUUCACAGAUUUGAGCUUGCUACACCCAGACAAGGACAGGCACCUAACCCAUGGUCUGGAGAGUGAGAAGGUUCUCAGAUUAGGAUGCCCAAGGAUCUUGAUAUCUUCCAAUGCUUCCCAUGUUUGUAUAUAAAGGUUUUCAAGGAAUGGUAAUAGUUCCCAAAGAAUCUGAAGUGUUAGCCUAAUGCAGUUAGAGAUAUGUAGCUCUUUGAGGCAUUUGGCUUUGGACAGUGAUGAUGGGAGUGACCUUAGGCUAAUGGAGUUACUAAGAUGUAGCACUUCAAGGCUGUUGGCUUCAGACAGGGACAUCGGUAGUGAUAUCAAUACCAUGUUAUUGAUUAGCUUCAGUGUAUGCAGGCUUUGCAUGUUUUGGAACAUGUGAUCUGGAAAAGCUGUAAUCUGAGUCCCCUCGACAUGAAGAACUAAUAGAUUUGACAGUUGAGCCAUGGAAAGAGGUAACUCUCUGAGAUUGGUGCAAUUACCGAAAAUGAGCUCCUCGAGGCUUGACAUUUCGCAGAAGAAUUCAGAAGGCAGGGUGGAAAACUUUGAGCCUGAUAGGUCAAGGUAGUGCAGAUUUCUCUUGUUGCUGCCAUCUUGUUGUAUUAGCUCAAUCAAGGGAACUCCAUUCAUAUCUAAGACUGCAAGGUUCUCGAGAUGAGCAAGUGGUGAUGAUUGUUUUUCAGAAUUAGGUGGUAUUGGAGACAAGAUCUUUAGCUGAGAACAGCCUCUGAGCGAGAGCAAGUAGAGAUUGAGUACAUUGGAAAAUGAAAGAGGAAGUGAAUUUAUAGGGGUGUAGGACAAAUCAAGGACAUGGAGGUGUGGGGUGAGAAGUUUAUCAAGACGAAAUGCUGACAUAUCUGAACAGCCUCUCAGAAUCAGGGUUGUCAUCUUUAUAUCUCCUCUUGUUUCCCUCGGCCAACAAUUCCAGCUUACAUGCCUACCAUCAUCAUUCAAAAAUGAGACCCAUCUUGGUUGCUCUUCUUCACAUGAGUAUUGAGUUCAUCUUGUCUGAGACGUGGGACAGUGCCAGCUAACUUUGACACACCAGUGUUGACAUCUAUUGGGGAUGAAUUGCUUACUGUUGAGGUGGAAACUGAGUAUAUUGGAAGUAAUGAAUAUUCAUGCAAGGCUUCAAUCACGACUUUCCCAGCUUCAUAUGCAGACCUGUAGUAGUUGCUUUGUUCCUUGACAGUGGCUUCUUGUGUAUUGGUGGAGACUGUUGUUGAGAAAAGCAGGUCCUCAGCUACCCAACAGCGAACUAGUUCAUCAGAAGUAAUAGAGGAGGCGUUGCUUGCCUUGCUUCCAUCAUCUUCUUGCAGUUUAUGGUAGAGGAUACCAUAGUACAGGCAUUGCUGAGCUACGUGGAGCCAAAACUUGACAGGGUAUCCUUUGUCCUCGAGUGUGCUAUAAAUGGAUCUGGCUGCAUCCAGUAAGGCCUCUUUAAUCAACACAGCCCAGUCUCUCUCACGGAGAUCACUAAAAGAUGGUGCAUAGUAAUAUUCCGGAGUUAAAUGAUAGACCCAGAAAUCAUAUCCUUUAUCACCUCUGCUUUUUUCACAGACAUCUUUGGAAGUGGUUGAGAUGAGCCACCGCCGGUUAUUCAAUACAGAGGGCCGCCGGUCGCCCAUGGUGGAAACCAACACAUCCAAUGAGACGGGAACAUGCAGGUUUUCCACGAGCAACAGAUGCCGCUUCCCUUCCAACGCUUCUCUGAUCCUUUCUACUAUUGGAGAAAGUACAGGUUGGAGCUCAAAGAUAGGGUCACUCCGUAUGGAAUAAUCUAACCCAAUCCACAAAAUGGAGUUCUGUCCAAAAGCCUGGAGCAUCAGGUAGUCAGAGAGUUUGCUGUAGCCAAAGUAGCUCUCUUCCGCAGCGAUCUGCUUGACGUCUUCUGGCAGCGAUGUCUCCAGCAGGGUUCUUGCCAAUUCUGUGAGCACAUCAAACGCCAACCGAUACUCCUGGUCUCUGCUAGUGCUCCUUGCUGCCGAGGCGCAUGGCGGUGGGAGCCUCACGCGUGUAAUGUUGUCAUACGGACCAUAGAUGUCCUUGGUGCGCUCGAACAAGAGCCUGGUAAGAGUGGGCAAAAAGGAAGCUGCAGGUCCAAUUCCAGUGUUCCAUAUCAUCGGGUGCUCCUUGCUCCACUCCACCACCCUGUCUUGCAACGCUGGUAAUCGUAUCCAGUCAAUAGUAAGGUCGAGCCUCUCGGAGAAUGCCGAACCACCCCUGCUUUUAAUAGGCUUGGUCAGUGCUCCCUCAACAUUAGCAUGUACAUAGAAAUGUGAUAAUUCUUUUAGAAGCUCUUGAGUCCGAUGAUUAAAUCAACACAUAACUUUUAGUGUUUAGUACUUCUAUUUUAUUUCUCAAAAAGAUGUUCAUCUUGCGAUGUUUACCAACAGCAAAAUUGGAUAUUAGUCAGUGCAUUCAUACUGAACAACGUUCUUUAUUUCUGCUCAUUUGGACUUGAUGCCCAACACGCACAGGUGUUGUUAGAAAUUAGCAAAAUCAUGUGCUCCUAUGAACUAGGACAGACAUCGUUUUGCUAACUAACCAAUAAUACUGGUCAUUAGGGUAGUAGGCAUAACAAUAUGCACUAGAUGACACUACCGGUGCAUAGGAUCGAUCGCAAUUGGCACACAACAUAUUGGAGGAGUACCUGGCAUAAUCACCAUGACCUUUAAGUAUUUACUUGACUAUUCUAUCAACCGGUGGUAUAUCACGGGUCAGAAUCAUAUUGGUUUGUACAUUCAACUAAUAAAACUAUUUAUAUUAAGUUGUAUGUGUUUUCUCUUUCCUCAUUUUGUGACACAAUAAGCAUGAUGGAUACUGUGUAGUUUCUAUCUAGUUCUGAAACACUACCGAUUACUAAUUUUUGUCAUUCAUAUCAAUAGUUUUUCUCGGUGCAUGGCACCUAUGUGUAUCUUCAACAUGCAUUAAUUGAAAACAUAGCUUAUAGUAUGCUGGCUCUUGUUCUAGCACAUCUUAUUUUGGGGGAAGGCGCCCCCAGAAGGACACCCCGCCUGGCACUCGGCCUCCCUUGGGUCCAUAUUAACGCUUCGCUUGCGUGUGAUGACACCAUCGCGCUGAGGGUUCUAUUCUGCUCCCUCCUUUCAGGUACCUACGGUGGAGACUAAGUCAAGGUAACAGAUGAUGAGGAUUUGAGGAUGGCAGAAGAAUAUAUAGAUGCACUGGCGGGAAGUAGAGCUUCCCUCAAUGCUGGCGACAGCAACGUUAGGGCUCGAAGUAGUUGGCUAGAACAUGGAGGAUUACCUCCGUGCCCUCAGGUAGUGUAUUAACAUUGUAAACCAUUGAGCAACCCUUAUGUAAUUUCACAAGUGCCCCUAGUUAUGGCCUACAAAUACCCAGAGGCGUUGUUGUUCAGGUAGAGUUUUUUGGCAAUCUAAUGGCUAUUUAAUCUGCAUUUAUUUUCCACAUUCUCCGUUGGGAUACCCUUGGUUUACAGUUCUCCAAAUCACAGUAGGAAACCCUCGGCCUCCCCUUGCCUAGCCACUAGCGAGGGUGGGAGGCUAGGAGUGACCCACAGUUGGCGACCUGCGUGGGGACCCCAUUGUACCACUUCACCUAACAAUGACAGCUACUAGAAGGACCAACCCUAGGAACCCACCACUCCCCGUGUGGGACCGCUACACUGGCAGGAACCUCCAUCGAUGGGGCUAGAGGGCUCUUGGUGACCUGACCUUCUGUGUAGCUAUCGGAGGUCACGAUGGAGCCAGGCAAGGCACUCACAGCUGGGGCUGAGACUAACCCCGACCCCAAACCCAACCCGACUCAUAGGGAGACGACGGUUCAGGAAAUAUACCGCAGGAUGACGAUGUGGAGGCUGAGGAAAGAGGCCUUAGUGCCCUGAAUCAAAUGCAUGAAGAACUCUAGUAGAAAAAACAUCACGUCGAAGCUCUCGCGAAGCAGGCGCGCCUGAGGGUCUCCAGGCAGAAAGAAAAUAAGGCUAGAGAACAACUCAGGAUGAUGGAUAAAUACCUCGCCGCUGCCGCCGAAGCCAACCCCAAUUACCUAACUGAUCAGGGACUGUACCAGCCACCAUAGCCGGACCAACAUGGUCCGACGCUGGUCAACAACCCAUCACAAUCACCUUUGCCCUAACCAAACCUUCGCUUCCACCAACUUCACCCAAAAGUUAUUUACCCAAGAAACUCACCUCAAGCACAAAGAAACCAACCCCUGCCAAUGACCUACGACCCAAGGUCACCACUAACCCAAACGGUGCAAACGAAGAGCUAGCCACCAGCAUACAACCCUGAAAACUUACCAAAAUAUGAUGAAAGUGUUGACCCUUGCCAGUUUAUCAUGAGUUAUGAAGCCGCUGUGGCAGCAGCAGGAGGAGAGGAAAAGUUUUUCGUCAUCAUACAGAACAUUGCUCAAAGCUAGCAUAGCAACCUCCAUUCUCUCUCCUUGCUAAUAUUGAUCUCUUCUCUAUCUCUAUCUCUCACUCUACCCCUGUAAAAUACUAGAUAGAAAUAUUCGAUAUCCACACCUGUUCUACAGAUAUGAUCUUAGCUAGGUCCAUACCAACGUACGCAUCAGAUCAUCCCUCAUCCAUUCUCUCUCCUUACUCAGCCAAAUCCAACGCUCAUUGUUCAUAUCCAGUCCCCAUGCCCACGCCCUCUCUCCAAGAUCAUUAGCGCCGUUACAGCGCCCAGAAUUGGAGCACCUCACGCAGCUACCAUCUCUCGUGAAUGCGCUGCCGCCUCUGUACAUCUGCUUUCCUCUCUCUUCUCCAAGAUCAUUACGGUGGUUAAGUUCAUUAGCUUCUUUCUGGUGUUGCUGUAUUCUUGUAAGAAGCUUAUGUGUGUAUAUUAGCUUCCUUUUCUUUUCCGAUAGGCUAAGAAUGGCAGUAAUCUAUUUUACUUUCAUCGUAGAUAUAGGGACCGUGGUGGAUUCACAGGUUGGUCAAGAUAUGCCUGUGUACCUAUGCUGCCAUUCAGGAUGGUGUCCCUACCUAAUUGCUGGAUUCCAUUUAUUUUUGUUUACUACACUAUAUGAUGAAAUUGUCUAAUUCAUGAUCUAGAGUCUUUGCCGGGAGCAAAUAGUACCUGUCAUUAUCAUUUUCCGUGGGAUGUGAAAAAAUUGCUGCUGGUAGAGGUUAAAAAAUUCAAGCAAAGCAAAUUUUGUUUGCAUGCUGCUGGCAACUUUCAGCAGCGUGUGUGUAUAUAUAUAUAUAUAUAUAUAUAUAUAUAUAUAUAUAUAUAUAUAUAUAUAUAUAUAUAUGAAAUUCCUUUCUACACGUAUGUGUAGUUACUCUCAUCUUCAAUAAACUACAUUGUGUAUGUAUUCAUACUUGUUUAUCGGUUUGAGUAUGUUUAUAUACUCAUAUUAAGAUACUCUAGAUCUUACCACGCGAAUUUUUUUCAAAAAAAAUUAUAUUUUAAAUAUAUUACUAAAAUGCCACUACUAUAUUAUAUACAAUAAGUAUAACCAUAUACUCUAUGUAUGCAUGCAUACUUAACAUAUAUAUCACUCUAGAUGGUCUAGUAUGAUCAUAUACUUUGUCUAUAUACAUUUCGUUCGGUCAUAUACACCUUAAAUCUAGAGAUAUAUAGAUGAGAGUAACUACACGCGCGUGUAAAAAAAACGCGUAUAGUGGCAAAUCUUAUAGAUAUGACAUCUAUAAUGACAUACAUGUAAUCUAACUUAAGGUAGCCUUUAUGUGAUCUCAAUGUUCGGACCAAGGUUAUUUCAUAAUUCUCAUUGACUUUUUGUCCUACCAGUGACUUCGAGUAAAUAUAUAUAACAGUAUUCUUUUUUUUUCACAUGGAUUCAUUCAGAUUUUUUAAAUGAAGUCAAAAUUCCACAAUGUUCAAAAAGUUUCCGCCAGAAUUUUGUCAAUUUUUCAGUUUCUCGUUUCUACCGGUCAGUUUGUGUCAUGGCGGUAGGCUGAACCUGGGUUGAUGUUUCGAGGAGGAAUCCGUCCAAGCAUUAUAUCAUUUGUUUCACACAGUCUGAGAAAAUAUAAAUGCAGCGGCAAGAACAAUGAGUGUGAUCACGUACCAGCCAUAUCCAGGGAAAUUGAUGAGACGGUCGACCAAUAUAAAGGCAUCUUCAUUUUGUAUCCCUAUAAUCCUGGGCUUCAUUAUUUCCUCCAUCUUUACUUUGUUUCUCUAAAAAAGUGCAUUCAACGAUUAACAAGAUCAUGAAUAAUAUUCGAGUAUGCUUGGAAGUUGCAAAAAAAAACAUUAUCUAAUAAAUAUAUUGCAUACACAUCUGUAUAUAAAAAUUAUACAGAUAAAAUGCUAGUGCUACACAUAUGUUCCACUUAGAACGUUUUCCCAUAGCUGCGGCAUGGUUUGAAAUCGCUUUGUUUACCCUAAUUGAAAAUAAGUUACAUUUUGGACAUUGACAUCAUCUUGACAUGUAACUUUUUUUACUACUCCUGAUAAAACUAAAUUGCGAGACUAAUUCAAUUGUUACAAUUUUCAAAUAUCAAAAGGCAGCACAUCAAGUAAUAUGAAUCUAAUUUCUAAAAUUGCUGACUCACGACAACCAAAACUGUAAUAUCCGAUUUUAAGGAGAAAAUCAUAUAUAUGCUAUAUGUGAGUUUUAGAAGUCAAAUAUCACAUAUAGCUACAAAUAAGAGACAAUAUCGACAGACAAUGCAUAAAUUAUAUAACAUACUUAGUAAAUCAGAGAUCACCUUAGGCAGCAACAAUGAAAGAUAACUCCAAACUUCGGGUAUUAACUUCAGAUCCAAACUGACUGGUUGAUCACAAGUCUAAUACUCCUCCUGCGAGGAAAUAGCAAGAGUGAGUCCAUGUCGAACUCCACAAAUAUAGCAACAAGGUUGUAUACAUCCCAAAAACUCAUGAUCAAAGUGACAUAAAUAAUGUAGAGCAUAAAAAACAAUGAGCAUGUUAACAUAACAAGAAUCAUCAUCCUUCAUGUAAAUGUCCCGAAGAACGCUCAUGUCCAUGAGCAUGGCUAGUAUACUAGUUUAUUAAACACUUUGCAGAGGUUGUACAUCUUUACUCAUGAGUCAUGAUUUACCCUUUCGCCCGAGGCCCUUUAACCUCUUAGCUCACUACCAAGGAAAGCCGGCAGGGUUCACUAUGAAGCCUUUCAAAGGUUCGUCUAACAAGUUAGGGCCAUUAGAUUCACUCGGCAGGCAGAUAUAGAGCCCUCCUUCCAUGGCACGUAACACGUAGCCUAUACACAAGGACAGAGGCCGCACUAUACCCAACAUGUCUAGCCAUUCUUACGCCAUUUAAAGUAACCGCUAACAAGCUAGAAAAGAUCCUCAUACGAAGCUAAAGCCAGAGCCAUACAACCCUCAUGGUUGUACUGUCAAUCCUGGGUGAUCACGUACACAUAAAAUCCUCAAGUUCCUAAAAGGUCACUUUUAUCGUUUGUUGCUUAAACAUUAAUAAGUCACAAGAUCAUGGUCACAAAAAGAAAACCCAAAUGCCAUAUUUGCAUUGAUCAAAUUGCUCUUGCUGACCUACUGUUCAUCAUGGUAUAAGUCUUGAUCACCGAAAUACUGCUCACCAUCUAUAAUCGAUCACCAAACAUCAACACACAAACAAACCAGAGCCAAACAUACAUGAAGCAAACAAAGCUAUGAUUACAACGGUACACCAAUAGUAAUAAACCAAGGUGAAAAGAUUAUAAAAUUAUUCUACGCAUCCCUACUAUUACAUAGACGUAAAGAUCAUGAAAAUCAGAACUAAAAUAGAGAAGAUAUGAAUUUUCUAAGAUUUAAAGAUUAUGAAAAUCAGAACUAAAACAGAGAAGAUAUGAAUUUUCUAAGAUUUUCUUUAAAAAGUAAUUAAUUCAAUAGGGUCACAAAAUUAAAAAGUUUCAAACUGGUUGAACAGUGAUACUAACACAUAGUUUAUGUGAAAAUGAACCUAGUUGAAUGGGUCAAAUCAGAGUUAAAAUGAGCAUUUUAUGACCAAAAGAAUCUUAGUGGCAAUUCUGUAAUUUUGUGAAAGCGUAUUUUGAAAUCAAACCGGGAUGGAAUAUGUUUUCAAACUCAGUUAGCGUAUUCUAGAAAAGCACUAAGGACGGUGGGUUUGAUUAUAAAAGAGUGCAGGGUCUUUUUUACAAAAACAUCGACCGAAGAGGUAACUUCUAAUCUCGUUCAUUGGUUUGAGAUCCGACAGAUGGGGCGGUUUGGGGAGAGUUUUGGCUGCCGUAAUAGUGCCCCUGGCGGCGGCACCAUUGCCGGAGAGGAAAGGAGCUCACCGGAAAUGGUGAUUUCGGCCCUAGAGGCCACGACUCAACACGGGAAGGACACAGGGAGAAAGAGAAGACUAAGGCAAAGUCACCGAGGGUAUUAACAUUGGCUCGGAGCAAGCAGAGAAGUCCUGGUUAUUGAUGGAGCAGCUCGGUGCCUUCCUGUGAACCAUGGCCAUGACACAUGAGCAAUAAGAUGAAAAAUAGAGAGGUGGAAUGCACCAUGAGCUUUGUCACCUCGACGUGGUGCUCGGCAACAAAGAACCAGUGGUGACAAAGAUCAUGGCAAGAUCCGAACGACAACUAGGGCGGAGCUAGGGCAAGAAAAUGGCGCAUAGAUGAAACGAAGGACGGGGGUCACGGAGCUUUAAAUGGCGGCCGGGCUUGCUCCCAUGCGAUGAAUCCUGCAAAAAUGGGGAUCAGGCGGAUUUGAUGCCCAGAUAGAGUCCUGCUCCCACACGGCGUGAGGUAGGAGAAGGGGGUGUGGCUGAUUAGUGGGCCUGGCUGGUCAAUGAGAGAGGAAAGGAGGAGGGAGGUUUGCGCAGCUUGUGCCGAGAACGGGCCGUGGGUGGCCUGCUGUUGCGCGUGUGGCUCCCUGCUGGGCCGCCAGCUGAGCUGAUUUGUUCUGUUCGCGCGCGGGGCCGACUGAGGGGAAAGACUUCUAGGCCGACGCCGCGCGCUGGGCCGAACUCCCGGGAGGAACAGUUGGGCCACUCAGGCCAAAAACCAGAGAGAGCAAGGUUUUCUUUUUUUUAUUUCCAAAGCAAUUUUCAAAUCUACUUUUAAAAUUAGUUUGAAAACAUUUUCAAUUUUUAGUCAAAACCACUCAUCUCAAAAAUACAAAUGCACCAGCAUGAAUGCACACAAAUGUUGCUAAACUUUAGGGUAAAUUUUAAUUUAAUAAAAAAUAUUAUUUUCCCUAUAUUUUAUGAGCACAAAAAUACAUAAUUAAAUCAAAUUAUCUCUAUUUUCAAAGAAGAACUUUAGGGUGUUACAAAAAGGUUACGUAUAUGUACUUGAGGGAGUAACAUAUCUUGUAUAAAAAUUUCAUCUGUCCUGAAAUGUUUUCUGAAUCAUAAAAUUUUUUGUUUCUUUAUAGAUCUAAUUAUCUUUUGUGGUUAAAUAAAUUGAGAUAACAGAUAUCUCGAUCUGUUCUUUGAUGAAACAUCUAAGAUAUGUUUGCAGAGGUCAGAAAAAGGCUAGAGAAAAAGCAUGGUUUAGAAAAAUAUAAAAUUUGGAAGUACAUACCCAUCUCACAAAAAGGUCCUGUCUACAAGGGUUCGGUUUUAAAGGUAGAGAAGAAUGACUUAGGUCCUGUUUGGAUCAUAUGAGAUAACAGCUAGUUGCUAAAGUUUAGCUCUUGAAGAUCCAAACAGGAGGGCUAAUGGGUGGACUAAAUUCUAGCCAAAGUCUCAAUAAGUUGUUAGUUCACUAGUCCUUCAAAGCCAACUAAUAGGGUCUAAAAGUGCUACAAGUAUCAAAAAGUUACCUCUAUAUUAUAUUCUCUCUCCUUUCUCUCCCUAUGUUACACCAAGAUCCAAAUAGGUAAAUAUAAUUUUUAGCUAGCUAUUUUUGAGCCAUGACUAAUAAAGGUCCUAGUCUAUCUAAAUAGGACCUUAUAACAUAGCAUCUCAAACAUAGACCCAAAAUAGGAUAGUGCUCUACUUGUUAGGGUCCCAAAAAAUAGUUCAUUAGUCUCAAUUCGAGUCUCUAAUUUUUCUUUAUGGCUGUCCAGAUCUUUCACUGCCCCUUUUGCUAGGAUUGUGUUGAGCUUGCUACUAUACAAGUUUUUCCAGGUGAAAUUUUUUCCCGCGCUGUAUUUUCCAUUUCUUGUGUUGUUCACUAAUAGAGAACAAACUUUUGGUUCAGCACAUUACUCUCGGUUCGAAUUGGGCCCGGGACUAAUGUGAGCAUUAUUUCUACUGGUUACAAGUUUCUUAGGCAUCAGAGGACCUUUAGUCCCAGUUGGUGUUACAAACUGGGCUAAAGAGCCUUGGCCCUUUAGUCUCAGUUAAUAACAUCAACCCAAACUAAUGUAGACCCUUUAGUCCCGGUUGGUGUUACCAACCUAGACUAAAAAAUCCUUUAAUCCCAGUUAUUGUUACCAACCUGGACAAAAGAUCCUCUAAUGGGUUAGUUCAAAAUAGAAGCAUCCCAUCUAGAGUCACAUGUGCUGCGUAUGUGGGUUGGAAAGAUACGCACGAAGUAGUGCAUGUGGAGUUCAAAUCCCACGAGGCGCAAGGGUGUGAGGCAUUAUUUUUUAAGUCUCCACGGACCUUUAGUCUGGAUUUGGGUUUAAAGCAAUUGGGACUAAAGGCCCUUGCCAAACCGAUAUUGAAGCCAUGUUUCCUACUAGUCGUUCCUUCUUAUGCCGCUGUGGGGGUAUAAAACCCUAUACCCUUACGGACUUGGGCCAGGAGAUUUGGCCCAUCACGAGACAGUUCGAGGCUUUGAUCCAACUGCUCGGAGUUUCGCGCAAGGAAACAAGACAUGGAGAUCAAACAAGAUUCUCGUCGGUUAGAAUAGGAAUUGAUAUCGUAUUAUCUAUGGCAAUUGUAACCGACUAGGAUUAGUUUCCAAAUCUGUAACCCUGCCCUUUGGACUAUAUAAAGAGAGGCAAGAGACCCCCUUAGACAAUUCAAUUCAACACACAGCAAUAUAGUCAGACGCAGGACGUAGGUAUUAUGCCCACAUGGCGGCCGAACCUGGAUAAAAUCCUUGUCUAUGUCUUGCGUCACCAUCGAAUUCGUAGCUUGCGCACCUGUCUGCCGAUAAACUACUACCGUGGGUAUACCCCAAGGCAGACUACCGACUAGCUUUCAUCGACAGUGGCGCGCCAGGUAGGGGGUGUGCGUACAGUUCUCUAGACGAACAAGAUGGUCAUCGUCCCCGCUUCCGCUGCAGUGGCCGAAGGCCUCACGUUCACCGUCGACUAGAUCACCUGGACAACUCACGCUGGUGGCCCUACGACCAUGACUCUAGAAGAGAAUCAGAUCCAAUCUGAAAUGGCGGAAGUGGUGGUCCAGAUCACGCCGACCACGAUCACUACGACUCCGACAACUCGACUUCUGCUUCCUCGCUACAAGGGAAAACGACGACAAUUCCGAUCUACUUGAAGCCAUCGAUCGCGCCAACCACAGACUUCUUGAAGUCUCCGAUCUGAUGGAUUCAAUUUCAGACCAGAGCACUCGAGCACCGACACCGAAUUUUUUCGACUCCCGUUGACCAACUCGUGCCACCACGCACGAACGGCUAGGGACGUUUUUGAUGAUAACAGCCACUCCCGAAAGACGAACUGUUCAGUUCAAGACAACCUCUCCAAACGGGAGUCUUCCUCAUGGUCUGAGUAACGCGGCCGACCAGGUCUCACGCCAUACUCAGUCCCUAUUCAGAAAGAUGGACCUGUCAUCACGACAACCCAUGCACCCAGCACGCCACUUCGUCAAUAUGGUUUCUGUCCGUACUUUGCCAGAAGACAACACCGCAAGCACAAACUCAAGUACAGGCUCUGUCCCUACCGAGGUUUUACGCCACGAGGAUGAAGUUCACGACUUGGAUCUCCUGCCUUACCCUCCGGCCGCUUCCCGGUUUUUCCACCUCGACGAGGAGAUUUGGUUUUCAAUAUCAGCAACGACGAACCAGUCAUCGACGAAGAAAAUGAUGAGCAAAGGCAGCAGCGCGAGCAGCGCAAUGCUGAUCGUGCUCAACGACGAGCAGAUGAAGAACUGCGGCAGCUGGUCCCAAAUAACCUUGACGACGCUUUCGACAUGGUGGGGAACCAGCAAGUGUUCAAGACACCAAGCGCUAACGUGGCUGUCGCCAUGGCAAACCUCAACCGACUCCCAGACACCCCAGAAUACUAGGGUGUUCGGACUAACAUACGGGCACACUUAAUUGCUGCAAUGGGACAGACUGCAGAUCUCCUUAGAAGAGUUCAAGCCAUCUCCUACACGACCUGGCGGGCAUCACUGCAGCAGUUCGCUCAUCGAUGACCGCAGGAAGGAAGCUCAUCGCGACGACCGUGGUCGGGACGCUGGCCGCAACCGCGAGCAAAGACGCGGACACGACCAGGAGGUAGACCAGGGAAGAAACCGUGAUCUACGACAUAACCUCUAUCACAAGGACGCCCGAGAGCGCAUCAACAGACGCAUCAAUGAUAAAGCGGCACACGAAAACGUGCGCCGCAUUGAGUACGAUGCAGCUCACGGUCCUCCUGGCCUAAAACAGUUCUCCUUGCAUCUCCUGCAAGUCGUCUGGCCGCACAAUUUCAAGCUCGAGAAGCUCAAAAAAUAUGACGGCAAGGAAAACCCCGAGAACUGGAUUACCCUUUAUGAGAUCACGGUCCGGUCAGCAACAGGGGACGAGCAUGUCAUGGCAAAUUAUUUCCCGGUCGUCCUCGACCAAGCUGGUCACCAAUGGCUCCUCGGCUUGCCUGAAAACUCAUUCGACUCAUGAGAAGAACUGCGGCAGACAUUCAUCGACAACUUCAUCGCCACCUGCGAGUAGCCGGGAAACAAGUACUAUCUCGAGAGGAUAAGGGACCGAAAAAACGAGCCCUUGCGCGAUUACAUCCGAUGCUUCUCGGAUAUGCGCCUCACUCCUUCCCAUCAUGCCACUGCCUCCAGCCAUCCAUCUUUGCCUCUAUCUAAAAACUGUGGUACCCAACCUGGUUCAGAACCUAAUAGUCUAAAGGCACUCAAGAGGGAGGGCAAAUACACUCAUCCAUUAUAGUUUUGUUGUAAUUUAUUACAAUGUGGUGUGAUAGACAAUUCUAUGUACCUAUACGAGUUUAAUAUUUCAACAAAUUGAAAUUGAAAUUUAUGUUUUUACUAUUUAAAAUCAUGAAUUUGGCUACUAUUCCUUUGUAAGUUUGAGAUCACAUUUAAAUAUAAGAGAAUGAAAUAGGGGUUCAGGUCAGUGGCGAAGCUAGAGCAAAUAAAAGGAUGGUGCAUUUCUCUUAUAAAAACAUAAACUCUAGCUAUAGUUAUAGUGAAAAAUUGAUUUACUUAAUGGUGUUUAAUUUUUUUUGUGGGUGCAUGUGCACCCACUGCCUUGUACGUGGCUUCGCCACUGGUUCAGGUGUCGGAGCCCUUACUAUUGUUGGUCCUAAAAAUAGAGUCCAGAAAGUAGAGGGAAUAUGUACUGAGAAACUUGGGGCCCUAUUUUAGAGGCCAAUGCUGAAGCCAAAUAUAAAUUAUCAUAGAGGGAAUCUCCACCAUUACAAAAAGAUAACAUAGAGUAAACCCUAGCUUUGCAUUUAAAUUAUGUUGCAAUAAUCUAAUAAUCCAAUAAAUCUAGAUCUAAAUCAUUCAUAUCUGCUAUUUUUAAUAGUAUAACUUAAAGUAGCCCAUGAUUUGUAUACUAUUAAGUUAUAAAUUAUGUAUUUAUAUUUUUCCAAAAAUCAUUCUUUAAAGUCAACAAUUACUGAUAAAUCAUCAAUAAUGGGUAAUUCAAAGUUUUCCAUGCUUAUUAUAAGUCAAAAUUAUUUGCAUAUGCCGUUGGAGGACAGCCGGCAAUACUAACAUUCAGCUCUAUGCCCCUAGUUAUAAAGAUGGCAACGGAGAAUUUUCCGUCGGUGAAUUGCUCCCCAUCCCCGUCCCCGUCAACACUUGCGGGGGUAUUUUUCCUCUCAUCCCCGUCCCCGCACGGGGAUUUUAUCCCCACGGAGAUUCUGUCUCCGUAACAAAACUGCACUUUUUAGAGUAGCAAGAGCAAAAGUUAAUUAAAAAUAAAAGUAAAUCAAAUUAAAAACUCACAUAAUCCAAAGAAAAAAAAGACACCGCUCGUCCUCAUCUGCAAAAAUACACAGAACAAGAACAAUUGCCAGUUCUCUUCUCUCAAUCCAAAGAAAAUACAGUAGAAAGAAAAAAUGACUACAGGGAAUGGAAUUGAUCUAGCGCUUGGUACCUUGACCCAAACAAUCAUUGGGGUCACUUUCGGAUCUAGCAAUUUAAUGUGCCAACAACCGAUCGAUGGCAACGAGAUUGCACUUGCUUGAGGGGUACCAUGGCCUCUAGCUUGUGAGUUGCUGGAUGCAGGAGAGCCGGUCGGUGGGCAUCACCAACCAGUGCGGCAGUGCGGCUGUCAUAAGAUGGCACAGCAAGACAACAGGAGUGGACUUGGUGGCUCACGCGCAGCCAUGGAGCGUGCUAGGGGAGUAGAGUCAUGGAGACACAGAGUGGCGGCUAGCAUGUGGUGUGCCAUGGGAGGAGGAAGUGUGAAGUAAUGAGGUUAGUGUUUCUUCAUCGUAUAUAUACAUGCUGUCUGUAGAUGGCCCCUUAAUGGGCCUUCGCCUUGCUCGCUAGCUAGAUAGCACCGGUAGACACCUGAAGCGGGACGAGGAACGGGGAAUGGGGACAGGGACUGCACAACCAUCCCAGUCCCCACCAUCCCCGACAGGGACAAUGUUUGGACCGUGAGAAUCCCCGUGGGGAGUAUUGUGAUCCCAUCCCCUAAUAGGGGAAUUCCUCGUAGGAAAUCAGGUAACGGGGCCCUGUUGCCAUCUUGAUCUAGUUAGCAAAACUGCAUCAGGCCUUGCAGGCAAAGCCCAACGGCCAAAGCAUAUGUGGCCACAUCCUCCCAAAUCCUCCCUAUUGACUAUCAUCCUCGGCUCCUGUUCUGCAGCUGAAUCGCCCGCGCCCUCUGCUGUUCGAAAUCUUUCCCACCAGCCCCGUACUAGCCGCACUAUGAAAAAAAGUCAUUACAGACGUGCUUUCCUGGCCAGCUGUCGUGCAGAGUAGGCACACUGUUCGAGACUUUUUUCCGUACAGCGCGCUUUUAAAUUGUAGGAAUUUUAUGAAUUUUUAUCGGAGAAAAACGCAAGAUUCGGAAAGAAAAGAAUAAUCCCACACAGUCUGAAUGGGAAAAACCGUGUGUGAUAUGUUUUGUUCCAUUAACCUACUAUCUACCCCACUGACCCACAGAAGGCUCGAGCCCAUUUUUUCUGAACCACAAGGGUACGGUUUGAGAGGUUGAACACAAGUUUAAAAAUAAGUUGUGUUGUGCCUAACAAGUCCAAAAGAUAUAUCACAUUUUUAUUGAAGCUAUGUUCUCAACUUAAACAUAUAAUACACCUGAGGACACCAUAACCGAUGCACAGUAGAUUUUGGUGAUUGGUGAAAAAAGCCAAUAGCUUCUUCAUUUUAGUCUCCAAAUAGCUAUUCUCUAUUCUGAGUUUCUCGCUACCCACGGAGAGUGAAAAUGGUGCUCCAGAGUACAUACAAGAUAUAUAGAAAGGUUGUUGGAGAGAUAUAGAUAGUGAUUUUCAUUUAAAUGGCUCUCUAAAUAAUGGUACAGAUGAUGAGUUAAUUUUUUUUUUGGAGAUGCUCUAAAUGCAGUUGAUGAAACAUUGGGUAAUUACUAAAUUACAUUGUGUAUGUAAACAAUAUAAUUUUUCAAUCCUGCAUUGAGAAAUCAAUUUCUAGAUACUGUCCAUCUCAGAAUUAUUUUUGGUGGUGAUUUUCUUGGAGCUGGUGAGUAGUGGUACAAUCGAUUUUCUCACAUGUAAAAAGGAGCUGUCUCCGAAAAUCAUUUUUGUAGCAGUGUACAAUUGAAAGUGCUGAGUAUAGUAGUGGUGGCAGGAUAAUAGUGAGGGCGCUGUUAUAUGGGGUGGUGGAGGAACAACCGUUGCUGGACAGAGGACAGUAGUUGCUACAUGCAUUUUAUCCCUCCAUAUUCGUAAUCACAAGCUAUCCUAUUUUUUGGAAUCUAUAACAACAGCAUAAUCAAGUCCAGAACAACACAAAGAACACAGACAUUAAUAUUGGUGUCUAUCUUGAACUAGAUGAGUUAAAUUCUGUAGCUUGAACAAUGAGUCAAUGAAGUGGACGUACCUGGAUUCACGCGAGAACUGGCAUUGCGACUUUCUGCUGAGGAAAAGAUUUCAUAAUGCUGAAACCGCUAUAUUGUUUUAUGAAAGGUAAACACCCACCAUAGCUAAGUCCAGAACACCACAUAGAACACCGAGCUCAGCAUCUAUCACCAAGAUAGUAUAUAUAGAUGAUGAGUCAAAAGUACCAAACAAAAAAACUCUAGCUUGAACAAUGAGUCACGGAAGUGGUACAUACCUGCAGGAUUCAGACGAGAACUGGCAUCAACCUGUGACUUUCUAUUGAGAAGAUUGUACAUCGAUGCAUGCAAGAUACGAAAUGAGAGGUGAGGUGAUUGCAGAGAAAACAAUGGUCACGCUCGUCGACGAACUAUAUGCCAUGCAUGACAAGCAAGGAACAGCUAAUGUAUGAGGUGGAUUUUUUUUAUUUAAUUUGAGGUGGAUGCAAUGGACAAGCAAGGAACAUAUUCGCCUUUCUGAAAGCAGGAAUAAUAAAUAGUAUGCGCGGAAGCUUUAUUGUCCAAAGGAAAAGCGUGGAAAGAAGCAACCACAUGGUAAGGUAUCAGAUGUUAGAAUUUAUAUGGAUAAUACCCCUAAUUCCAUAUGAAGAAAUUCUAAUAAAUCUCAAAGGCCUAAUACAUGUAUUCCCUAAUGGGCUUUAAUAUUUAAGUCCAUGAGUAAAGGUGGGAGGUGCAACAUCAAUUAGUAUCAUAUUGCUAGUUGAUGUAGAGAUAGAGGGUUUUCCUCCACAUAUAUACGUACCGAUCCUCCUGGAAAAACACAGACCAAAAACUACAAUUGGGAAUUUCAAUUAGAAAAUCUUAACAUAGUAAAAUAGUAUUUUUCUCUUCUUGCUACUGCACUGUCGCUGUAGUUUCUCCAUCCCGAUCGUCAGCAUGCACCAGCGACCGGUAGAGCAGGUCUUCGGAACCCUCGUCUUUGCAAUCCUGCAGCGGGAGAAGGCGAAUAAGGUUUUUAGGAAGCACUCUUCGCGCGACUGCUCCCAACCUUCACCAUGGGCCAUCUUCCAUCCAUGUCAGGCGGUGGUACAUCCCGGCGUAUUCGUCGUCAACUCAAGCGAAGUCUUCCACCGCCGCUCAUCAACGUCAACGAUCUCGACCAUGCCUUCGAUGGCUACGACAUCGAGCUCGCCUUCGACAACCUCAAUCUUACGCCAUCCUCGUCUGCAUCUCCACCACCAAGUACUUCUACAGCUAGCAGGUAUAAUCUUAGUGAUCUAAUCUUGUCAUUUAUAUGUCCAAUCUAUCUAGUGUAUGAACUAUGUUUACACUAGUCAUCAUGUUCAUGCUAUGCGAUAUCAUGAUCUGUUUUGCUAGUAUGUGUGAUUUGUUAAUCUGCCAUGCUAGUAUUCUUUACGUGCUUAAUCUAGUUCAUCAUCUAGUCAUGUUUUAUGUUCUGGUUUUAAUCUGAAAAUUAAUCUGGAAUUUGUCUAAUUAUUUAACAUCAGAAACAUAAAGAAACAGCGCUUGCAGCGGCAUCCAGAAUACACAGUUUAUAGUAUGGUUCGAAAAGAUGUGAUCGUUGAGGAACUGAGUACACUAUAACAAAACAGCACAAAGGAGACGCCUAAAUCAGUGACCUUCAAUUGAAACGUAUCACUUAUGUCAGAUCAGUGACGCGUGUAAACUAAAUACGUCAUUUAGGUGUCAUCUAUGGUAAGGAAACGAAAUGCGUCACUAAUGACAACAUAUUAGAGACUCUUCUCCACAACGUGUCACUGGUAACCAGAGACUCGUUGGGAGGAAACAUGUCACUCCUAAAAGAUAUCGGACCCAAAAAAUUAUCAAAUAUUGCUAAACUAAAGAGUUAAGUCUUUCGUCCCCCUCCCAUCUGGAUCUGGCCGUGCCCACUCAUGGACGCACUGUGUCACCCAUUCCUAUCCUAUCUCUCUCGCCUCUCCGCCACCAUAUCCCUCUUUCUCCUCCAGAUCUGGCUGGAGUGCCUUCACCUCCUUGUGCCAAGAACAAUGGUGCAGACGGUACUACUCCAGGCAGCACAAGCGGGGAUGGCUUCGGACAGCACAUGCAGGGGUAGAUGAAAACGGAACGGAAAUAUCCCGAAUCGAACCGAACCGCUUUCUAUAUUUGAUCCGAUCGAAUUCGUAUUUUUUUGUCCGACUAUAUCGUUUUCGCUUUCGUAUUUUAGAUGUUUCGUAUUUUAAAUAUAAAAGUAGAAAACGGUUUUGACAUUUUUCGACCGUUUUCUACUUUUCUACUUUUAAUAUGAAAUAUUUCGAAUUCAAAAUUUGGUUUAAACCGAAUUUAGCCAACUGUAGAGUCACACAGCCCAAUUAUAGACUACUCACCAUGCAUCUGCGUUCUUUCUACUAGUGGCUAGUUGUGUUCAUGUUAGCUAUUAAUUGCUUAUUCUAGACUUGUAUUUAUAUGUGGGCUAUUGUAUUAAAUACCUAAGACUAAGGAGUAUGCACUUUUUAAUUAUUAUAUGCACUUGAACUUGAUCCUAUUUAUACUUUUAGUCAUGCACUUGGUACUAUAUAUCGGUAUUUCGUAUUGAGUUUUCAUAUAUCGACCGUGUUCGACAUAAAUCCGAUCGAAUUGGUUCGUUUUCGAAAUUCUCGAUAUUUCGUAAGUUCGUGUUCGUUUUCGUGUCCGACUUUACCGUUUUUGUUUUCGUUUUCGUAUUUCAAAUGUAAAAGUAGAAAACAAUUUAGGAGUUUUUCGACCGUUUUCAUCCUGAUGCGGGUCCCUACCGACAACGGUGCAUGUGCCCGGGGCCCGUAUCGGUGAUGGCGCACACCGUACCCUACCAGGUAUGGCGGGUGGGCCCCCUGCACCGGUAGUGGUGAGCACCCUCCCCAUCCCACUCCCCUUCCCCGCAGCACCUGCUCAUGCAAGGUCUAGGAGGCUGUGGACGUGCCUUCAGCCAGACUGUCUUCAGCGCACAUGCCUAGCAUCGGCACAAUGCCUGCAAGACCACCUGGCUUUAAUGUCGCAAAAUUUUCUAAAACUUAAAUUUGUUUGAACUGCAAUGUCUAUGCUAACUUAUAUUCAGAUUUGUUUUCUCUACCAAACUGGUCACCAAAUAAAUGUAAUCUGUGUAUGCCUUUGCAGUCAUGGUUUCAUUGUGGUCACUCCUCAAAUAUGUUUUGUUUUUUACAUGUGUGAUGCUGUGCCAUUAUAAAUGCAAUCUGUCUAUGCAAAUUCUUGGUGAUUUAUUUUUCAGAUAUGCACACAUCGGACUAUGCAGAUUUGCACUGGACCUACAUAGUCGGGGUGAACAUCUCUUUUUUUUUCAUGUCGGCACAUACUGAAAUACACAUCACUGGCUUCUCUGUAUUUUACUUAGGAUAUCUGGCCAUGUAGCAAUAUCAGUGAUAUUUUUGCAGCCAUUGAAAACUUUGUUAGUCUGUUACAUGUUUUUGAACUAUAUUUAAUUUCGAAAAAAAAGCUUUUUGAACAGUAUUUAAUUUCAUAAAAAACUUUGUCUCUCCGGCACCCACUUCCUUGUUUUACGAGACCAACGGAUUGACUAAGUCGGUUGCACCCUCCGCUAAAGAACUUAGCGUGUUUAUUUCACCUCAAAAACCAAAAACUUUUCAAGAUUCUCCAUCACAUCGAAUCUUACGGUAUAUGUAUGAAACAUUAAAUAUAAAUAAAAACAAAAACUAAUUGCACAGUUUGUCUGUAAAUCGCAAGAUGAAUCUCUUAAGCCUAGUUACUAAUAUGAUUGGAUAAUGUUUGUCAAAUAAAAACGAAAGUGCUACAGUAUCAAAAUCUAAAAACCUUUUGGAUCUAAACAAGGCCUGCAUGCAAGAAAUGUAUUGUAAUUUGUAUUAACUGCACAUGCAGUUGGCCGUAAGAUGAAGCCGAGUAUGUACCUGGAUUCUGUUUUCAUGACACAGCAAGCAUUGUUGUUACUUUCAGCAGGGCAGGCGGCCACUUGGCAAUAUGAUAUAUGACGAUAACCUUCAUUUAGAGAUUAGAAUAUGAUAACCUUGGCAUUCCGAUAUCUUUUCAGAAAGCUCGACGCCUUAGUUUCCAAGGCAAUGGAUUCGAGAAGCAAGGAGCAGACAGUUUGGAGAUAAAGUAAAGGUUAAAGACAUUAAAGCAACUAAACAGAAAGUGUCAGAUUGGUCAGUUAAUAGGCCUUGUUUAGUUUCCAACUCAAAAAAUUUUCAACCAUCACAUCGAAUAUUUGGACGCAUGCAUAAAUAUUAAAUAUAGAUAAAAAAUAAAUUAAUUACACAAUUUAGUUGGAAAUCACGAGACCAAUCUCUUAAGCCUAAUUAGUCUAUGAUUAGCCUUAAGUGCUACAGUAACAUACAUGUGCUAAUGGUAGAUUAAUUAGGCUUAAUAAAUUUGUCUCGUAGUUUCCAGCCGAGUUAUGUAAUUAGUUUUUUUUAUUACUAUCCGAACACCCCUUUCGAUAUCCUACGAAACAUUCGAUGUGACACCCAAAAAUUUUUCCCUCUCCAACUAAGCAAUGCUUUGUUUCUUAGUUUGCUGUUGACUUGAGCGAGCCCCUAGUGUCAAACGAUUUUUAUAGACGCCUCUAUUUUUUUCAGAGGCAGCUGAAUUUAUUAAAACUGUUUUUUGAAAUCGUUUCUUGGGCGCCGAAAAAUGGCCUACUCCAUGGAAAUGGACUUCCGGUGGUUCUUGAUGUACUCGCUAGCUGCCCAUGAAAAUCAAUAGAAAAGAAACUAAUUUUUCAUCUUAAUCCUUAUGUAUUAAAAAGGAACCUCCUCCUGGUAGUCAGGUUUAUCGUCCCUGAUACUACACCUCCCAUAGUUAAGCAUGAAUGAUGGCAGCGCAAUCAUUUCAUACCAGGUCGCUAGCAGUGAACAACUUUGCAGCGAAAUUCAGAUUAAGAAACGAAAUAUGGAGUUUAUCAGUGGUGGUGGAGUAUAUCGAGUUUAUCAAGUUUAUGGAGUUUAACGAGUAUAACAUUGUCUUAAUUGGUGGAGUAUAACAGUAUGCUAGACGGUAUAGAGAACGACUGAUAUUGUAGAUAUAGUCCAUGCGGCCACGUGGCUGGCAGGAGCUGGACAGAGCAGUACGUUCAUCGAAGGUGCCAGUGUGCCACCAAGUGCUUUGAUGAUUCACCAUAGCUUCCAAUUUACUAGUUGGGCUUCUGUAGUUUCGUCAAAUGAUAACAUCUAUAAGGCCGUACCAGAGAAAUCAAUGGGUAGCUCAUAACACAAAUAAAACAUGAGAAACAGAGUACAUUAACCGUUGAUAAAUUACAAAGAGUUCAAGUUUGUUCUCAGCAUACCAAUCCAUACAUACACACCAUGUAGCUCCAUUCUGGGUGGCAGUCUGAAACAACCAGUUACUAACAGAAAUACAUAUAAAACUCAAACAGACCAAGCAAAGCAGCACAAACAUAAUAUGUCCCUGACAAAAAUUAUUACAUGAAACAAAACACACUCAAACACAAAUCAUGAUACAUACAGCUCACGUAGGUUCAUAGAAUGGAGACGACACGCCUUAGUGGCGUUCAUGGCACCGAGCUGAGGAUAUGCAACAUUGCAACUCACCUGAGGUACCUUCGGAUGAUAUGUUUCCUGCGUGAAACAAACUCUGGUGGAGGGAUAUGCAUGUAGUAGUGAUUCUGCUCUGGCUACUCAGCCUGUUCCAUCACUCCUGUUCUCCACUCACCUCCACCUUUGACCUUGGAUGUUUCAUCUUCAGGAGCAGGAGACGGUGAAAGGAGUGGCAGCCCCUGACAAAGAGCUUCUCCCACUUUGGUGUUUCAAACUGAAACUUAACAUUAUCAUGGAUGUGCAGCAGUUGUGGAAGCUCCUGGAGGUAGAUGCUUUGGUGUUUGGUAGUGGGGAAAGCGCUACAUCAUAAUGAAAUCGUUUGUAGAAAAAUGUCUUGAAGUGGAGAGGACUCUCAUAUUUUAGUAUGACUACCUCAACUUUCACAAGCAAGGUGGAACUAAAGAGUUGCCACAUCCUCCUGAUGCACACAUGAAUGAGUCUUUGAGAUCUCUUAGGAAUUUUAUGAAUUUCUUAUGGGGCCAAGCCCAUAAAUUCCAACAAUCCUCUACCAGAUCUCAAAUGCCAAUUUAGAGGUUGCCUGUUCCCACUACUAUUUGAUAGUGUUUCAGCAUAGACUGUGAAGUUGAACUUCCGCCUGGAACCUCAAGUUACACUCAUCUGCAACUUCGACAAUGGACUACGCCUGUAAAUGCAUGUUUUGUGCAAAUGAGCUUUACUCAAAGGCAAACUAGUACUUGACUGCCAGUAGCCUUCUCCAUGGGUGAAGCAUAUACGUCAUACUCCUGGUCUGUUCAUGAGCUUACUAAAGAUUAAUCAAGUCUCAUAGACCGUGACGUCAUAUAGUCAAGCUCAUAUGGGUAUUUUCUUUCAAGAAUGCUCUGUAGGAUAGCAUAUUUGCUUGUUUAAAGCCAAUAAAACACAAUAAGGCAGUUACCAACCUACCAAGUAUUGCAUCUUCGCUUAGAGAGGGUUAUAGGUUACUCUCCUUAGUUUACCAAUAGCUUGUUCUUCUCAUAUCCUUAGUCACAGGAUCUCCAAUAAAAAAGGUUGGGUUACUACUACCAUAAACUCAUGGGAUCUGCUAGGUUUUUGUUUGUUUGCACAUAAGCCAUAGCGAUUACUCUAAAAUUUCUCUCAACUUCCUGACAAACUUCCAAUGUCUUUUUAGUGUCUUAUUAACUUUGCAUUAUCGAUCCUUAGAAUUGUUCACUUUAGUAAUCACUAUUUGAUUAUCACAGUCCAAGAAGAGCUCACACAAUCAUUCUGCCUCUACAGAAGCUGUGUCUAAAGAAGUAAGUUCUCCUUCCAUGGUUGAUUUAGUCAAAAUAGUUUGUUUGCAAGACCUCCAUGACACCGUGCCACCUCCAAGUCUAAACACAUACCCACUAGUGGUGUAGAUUUGAUCAAUAUCAGAAAUCUAGUUUGAAUCACUAUAUCCCUCAAUCACAGUUGAGUGCCCAGAAUAGUGAAUCCCAAAACUCAUUGUACCUUCAAGAUAAUGCUAGACUCCUUCCAAUGCAUGCCAAUGGUCAUCACCUGGGUUGGACAUGUACCUACUCAACAUGCUCACAGCACAAGAGAUGUUUGGUCGUGUUGCGCUAGCUAAAUAGAUGAGUGAACCAAUGAUCUGAGAGUACCUCAAUUGGUCUCUAGCAAUCUUCUUGUUCUCUCUCAGUGUCACACUAGGAUCAUAAGGUGUUGGAGAAGGCUUGCUAUCCAUAAAGCCAAAUCGAAUCAAGACCUUCUCAACAUAGCGAGAUUGCGACAAAGUUAUCCCACUCUUAUCCUUAAUCAGCUUAAUGUUUAGAAUCACGUUAGCUUCUUCCAGAUCUUUGAUGUCAAAACUCUUUGACACAAAAGACUUGACCUCAUUAAUUACAUCAAUGUUUGUUCCAAAGAUUAAAGAAUCAUAAACCUAUAAACAUAAUAUAAUAUAAUAUAUGAAGAUUAGAAGGUGCGCGUGAGUGUACCUAAUAAGAGGUAUAGCGCCCGAGCAAUCAUGGAGGUAUCGGUCUAGGGAUCCUUCGGUCAGGCACCUCUUACCCCGUGAAAGGUCCUGUGGCUAGAGGAGGGUGAAUAGCCUAUUUAAAAACUCUACAAAACACUAGAGCAAAUGAUUAAUAUAACAAAAGGCAUAAAGCAAAAUUUCUCUAGCUCUACAAGGUUUGCAAUCCAUCUAUCCAACAAUUCUAGUUGCUAAGAUCACUAAACACACAAGAGCUAUGUCACUACAAGCUACACAAGUGAACUAAGCUAUACGAGGCAAAGCUAGCAACUAAAACUAAUUAUACUACUUUGCGGGAAUGUAAAUGGAGAGGAUGUGAUCUUUAUACCUCCGCGUAGAGGAAAGUGAACCAAUCAAUAUGAUGAAGACCAAUCACCAGGAGAAAUCCAAUCAAACACAAGAGAUGGCAACAAUGGUUUUUCUCCUAAGGUUUACGUGCUUGCCGGCUCGCUAGUCCCCAUUAUGUCGACCAACACUUGGUGGCUCGGCGGCUAAGGUGUUGCACGAACCUCGUCCGCACGUAGGACACCACAAAAACCUACCCACAAGUGAGGUAGCUCAAUGACACGAGCAAUUUACUAGAGUUGUCUUUGGUGCUCCACCUGGGAAGACAACAACCCUCACAACAACACCGGAGGUGGCCAAGAACAAACACCAACUCUUGCCACAACUCCACCGCUGUUCUAAGCCGUCUAGGUAGCGGUAACCACCAAGAGUAAUAAGAACUCUGCAGCUCAAAUGAUCCUACCACUUGAUGCAAUCGCUCAUGCAAAUGCAUUUGGAAUCACUCCCAAUCUCACUAUGAUAAUGGAUCAAUGAUGGAGAUGAGUGAUUGAUGUUUGGUUAGGCUCAUAAGUAUAUCAAGUAUGUCAAAAUGCCAAGAUGGUGAGCCCUAACCUCGCCAAACACUAUUUAUAAGUCCCCCAAAGAAAUAGGGCCAUUGGCUCUCUGUUCUCACCGGACGCUCUGGUGCGAUCGACCGAACGCAGCCCCCAGCGUCCGGUGCAUAGAUUGCUGCCACGCGUACUCUGCCUUUGAACGUCAUGCAUUAGAUCUCAACGAUCGCUACUCAGAGAGAUCCAAAACGCUCAAACUCACACCAAACACGUUUGGUGCAUGCUGACAGGCGCACCCCAGCGUUCGGUGCAACACUACACGCUAGAUUUGCGCCAUGUCAGCCUGACCAGAUGGUGAAAAGUGUUCACCCAGCGUCUGGUGAGCAGCGUCUGACGCUCUCAAGAAAUAACCGGACAUGUAGGUCCCUGCGUUCGGUGCUCAACCCUAGGUUAUGCUCUGUGUGCGGUACUCACCGAACGCAUGCCUAGUGUCUGGUGCUCAUGCCUGUUGCGUAUGGUGUACUCCUGCGACUUUGCUACCUCUUCAACUCCGCCUCUGGCGUAGUGGAAAAUAGACAUUUUAUUUCCACAAAACACAUGAAUCCCAAAUCCCUCUCUACCCUUCAAACUUCACCUCCUUCUCAAAGUGUGCCAACACCACCAUGUGUACACCAACGUGUGCACGUAUGUUAGUAUUUUCACAAUCAUUUUCUUCAAACGAGUUAAGCUAGCUCAUUAGGUUCUAAAUUCAUGCACAAAUGAAUUCACCUAGUGGCACAUGAUAACCGCUUAGCCAAACAAUUCCCCUCUUUAUAGUACGACUAUUUAUCCUAAAUGUGAUCAAACCCUCCGUGGUGUCUCGAUCACCAAAACCAAAAUCUUAUUUAUACCUUUGCCUUGAUCUUUAUAGGAUUUUGUUUUUCUCUUUCUUGUUUUCGAAGUUGAGCACUUGAUCACCUUAUGGUCACCACCACCAUCACCAUGAUCCUCUAGGCUCCACCACUUGGCAUGUAUCAACCUCAUCUAAUCCACACACACUUAGCAUAGAGGCUAGUACCGCUUUCACCCUAGCACCUAACACAUCCCUAAGAUUGGUUCUCGUCACCCAUGUUCACCGAGAGUUGCCUUCUAGAAGUUGUUGCGAUCACGACAAUGGGCCACUGGCAUGCAUGGCCAACCUCCGUGACACUAGUCAAAAUUAACCGCAGCAAAGUUGAAGUCCCCAACCCAUCAAAUUGCUUCGUGGAGGUGCUCAACAACCAUGUUAUGUGUGCAUCAAAGAAACCAUCACCAUAGCUUCCGCAAGACUUUAGGAUUGGUCAUCGUCAAAGCCACCAUCACGAAGAUGCCACACUAAUCUAGUAGAUUGUAGAUAUGUCGCAUUGAUGCAAGCGCCGUCAAACAGGCACUAUACCACGCUGCACUAGCCGCUGUCAAUCAGGGCCAGGUGCCACACCGCUGCUAGCAACCAUGCCACCUUGCCUGUAGUAAGACUAGGCUGCAGAACCACCAUGCACCGUCGGGCCGGGGUAGGAGUGAGCCAGGCGCGCUGCUCGGGAGCCAGCACACUGUCCCAUGCCACGCACCUGGCCUGGUCCUGCCCCGAAAUCGCUGGAUCAGGCAAAGGGAGCACUAGAUCUUAAGACAAAGGGAUCAGGCCAGGUCAGCAUCCCUCUGCUCCAACGGCCACCACGUCAGCAUCUGCUUUCACCCCUGCCUCUGCUUUCAGCACGUUGUUAUCAAAGAACGAACGAUGAAAAGAGGCACCACCUCCGCCCAUUGCUCCCUCCGUUCGGGUGCAUAUUGUUUGCACAGCAGAAAGAAUACAGGAAAUCCCUUCCCGCGUCACCGCGUGACCGAGACUGAUGACGAGCAACACUUAUCAAAUCUAGAUUCAGCAAUAGUCAUUCUGCAGCAAAGGAAAUUCUGACAUCUUCAGAAAACACGUCCUGAAGGAAAGGAAUAAAGCACAAGCACAAUCCUACCUGAAACUGAUGAACACCUUUUUCUGCUCAUCAUUUAAUAAUUUUACCCUGUUUUUGUGUAUGCUCAGAAGUCAGGGGAGACAUGGCUGUUCGCUUGGCUGAUAAGCAAUGAUUGAAAAUACUGUUCGCUGAUUUGUUGUGAGAGAAAAAUAGUGUUGCAUGGCUGACAGAUUCGGCAAAUAAAGCUCAAGUGAAGAGUAAUGGAGUUGAACACUGAGUCACCUCAUACUUCAUGAGGUGAUGCAUCAUGAGUUCGCCUCAUGAAUUUUGGUGGAAUCAAGCCAUUCCUGAUGCAUAUACUAAUUAUUACCUUGUGAGGAAUGAGUGAUGAUGGAUCAACUCAUUCCAUCAUACAAACCAUAUAAAAAACGUGAGGAGUGUGAAGAACAUGGACCAUCUCAUUAGUCAAAUCAAACACACCCAAGUCGACAUGGCUGGGACCCGCUGGACCAACUGAAGAAGAGGAUGUGCAAUGCCAUGAAUAAAAUGGGCAGAAGCGAGUUAGGGAACCUUUUUUCAAGAAAAUUUUCAGCUAAAAUGCCAAAACAUUGCUUCUAUCAGUUGUGGUGGAGUUUACUCAUGUAAUAGGUAUUGCUUCAGGCCAGGAAUCGUAUUGCUGUAGCUGUAGCCUCCAUCUCCACGAAUGUGCUCUGCAUGUUAACUAAUUUGAGCUUGGUCACUGGUUGGUUCUGUCUGUCAAAGUAUUCGACCGUGACGGGGAGACUCCCCUAGGCUCUAUGUUAAGAAGUUGCCAUGCUUCAGCGAGUUAGUUGUGUUCAAAAAUUCUGUUCAUAUGAUCCCUUCAUAUUUAAGCUCUGUCCCGGAAAUUACAUGGAUGCAUCUUGACAUCAACCUAUCUGUUCCUCACAACUUAUGAUCAUAAGGUAACAGCUAGCAAGGUGACUUUGUUCUGGAUUCUAUAGAACUCUGAAUAAAAUUCUCCGUUCUCAACUAUAUGAGUGAGGCACAUUACACUAAUUAUAUUGGUAACAGUUAGAGCUUGUGACAGCCAUCCUGCAGUGGGGAUCCAUUGUCUACGUGGAAUUUGACAGAAUACUACUUGACUGUGUCCGGGGUAUAUAUAAUAUCAAAUGACCUACAAUGAUGCAGAUAAGAAAAUAACAUUAAGCGCCAGGGGAAUAACCAAUAAGCCCACAACAUAUAAAAGUAGAAAACCAGAGUUCAUUAACCAUUCCAAUUACAACACAGUACAGUUCCAAAUUACAAAGAGUAUAGGUUUGUUCUCAGCAUACCAGUUCACAACUUCAUACACACAAAGCUUGCUUUCAUGGCAACCGGAAAACACAAAUUAUUAAAUCACAUACAAAUUAAACCCAAACGGGUUGAGCAAACCAGCACAAUGAUGACAUGUCCCAUGGCAAACAUUAUAAGACAAAAAAAUAACACACUCCGUCACAAAAGCAGGAUAGAAACACACUGUGAUGGAUAUAAUGGAGAGAGCAACUGAGUUGUGUGCUUGACACAGAGCUCUGGAUCUGAAACCAAUCCGAUCACCUGAGGUAGCUUUGGAUGAUAUGUUUCUUGCGCGAUACAAACUUUGGUGGUGCCACAUGUAUGUAAUAGUCACUCUGCUCUGGCAUUUUCAACUGCAGCCUGUCCCACCACUCACGCUCUCCGCUGACUUCCACCUUUGACUUUGGAAGUUCCAUCUCCAGGAGUGGGAGAUGGUGGAAGCAGUGGCAGCCACGGACAAAGAGCCUCUCCCACUUUGGUGUUUGAAACCGAAACGCGACAAAGUCAUGGAAGUGCUGCAAUCGUGGCAGCUCCUGGAGGUAGAUCCUUUUGAUGUUUGGGAGUGGAGAAGGUGCUACCUGAUACAAUUGUUGUUUGUAGAAAAUUGUCUUGAGGUUGGAGCAGAAGAGAAUGGCCAGAGUCUCCAGUGCAGGUAAUGAUAAACUACAUGGGAACAAUUUCUCCAGCCGUGGACAGUGCUCCAAGUGAAUGUGUUUUAGUAACUUCAGAGUAAUAAAAGAACAAUAUACCAGAUGACUAGGCUCCACCACACAUAGUAGGUUAUUUAGAUCGAAGACCUGCAGUAUCUGUAAGUGUGACAAGGCCCCUGAAAUAUAUGAAGACAUUAAAAAUACUACUGCCAGUUGAUGGCAGCGCUGGACCUGGCAUUCUUCUAGCUCAUUGAGAUUGCAGUUGAGGUCAGUAAGGCAUCUAACAAAAGCAUCAUCUGUGAUGAAUAUUGACUUUGUCACAGAGAGAAUAUGCCUUAAGCCACUUGGGUACUGAAUCUUAGCUGAUAUCUCAACAUGACGUUGUUUCGGCUGAAUCUUCAUCAUGGGCAUAAUGCUAGCUACCUCCGAAUACUGAACAUCACUAUAAUUUGAAAGCCUCUGGAUCCUGGUACAUAAUUCAACUUCCUUGUUUCGUAGUUUCUUGCUUGUCACGCUGCAUGGUUUAACUUGAACAUUGAAUGACUCCAGAAACUGUCCUUCAUUGACUAACUUUUUAGCAGCAUCUGCGUUGAAGCUAUGAAACAUUCUGGGGUCAUUUAUGUUGAUCUGAGCUGUAUUGGUAGAAUUAUCAUUGUUCUGAUUUUCAUCUCCAUAAGUUUGCUGCUGGCAAAAUAUCUUUGGAAUUUGAUUUUCAUCACUUGCACAUUGGUCGAAAUAGAAUACCUUAGGAAACCGGACCAACUGAUGCCAUGGAAAUCUCAUGGAACAAGGUACACCAAGAAGAAUUAACAUGUUGACUUGUGGUAGAUUUGGUAGGUUGUGAGGGACCUCCUCAAUAGCGGUUCCAGAAAGAUCAACAGCCUCCAAUGCUGUAAGAUUAUCAUUAAAGAUUACAGAUUUGAGCUUGCUGCACCCACACAAGGACAAGCACCUAACCCAUGGUCCGGAGAGUGAGAAGGUUCUCAGAUUAGGGUGCCCAAGAAUCUUGAUAUCCGCCAAUGCUUCCCAUGUUUGUAUAAACAGAUUUUCAAGAAAUGGUAAUAGUUCCCAGAGAAUCUGAAUCAUUAAGCUAAUGCAGUUAGAAAUAUGUAGCUCUUUCAGGCCCUUGGCUUCAGAUAGUGACAUUGGGAGUGACUUCAAUAGCACGUUGUUGAUUAGUUUGAGUAUAUGCAGGCUCUGCAUUUUUUGGAACAUGUGCUCUGGGAAAGAGGUAAUUUGAGUCCCCUCGACAUGAAGAACUAAUAGAUUUGACAGUUGUGACAUGGAUGAAGGUAAUUCUUUGAGAUUGGUGCAAUUACCGAGAAUGAGCUCCUCGAGGCUUGACAUCUCACAGAAGAAUUCAGAAGGCAGGGUGGUGAACUUUGAGCCUGAUAGAUCAAGGUAGUGCAGAUUGCUCUUGUUACUAGCGUCUUGUUGUGUUAGCUCAAGCAAGGGAGCUCCAUUCAUAUCAAGGACUUGAAGGUUUUCAAGAUGAGCAAGUGGUGAUGUUUGUUUUUCAGAACUAGCAGGUGGUGAUGGAGACAUGGUGUCUAGUUGAGAGCAGCCUCUGAGCGAGAGCAUGUAGAGGUUCAGUAGAUUAGAAAAUGAAGUGGGAAGUGAAUUUAUAGGGGUGUAGGAUAAAUCAAGGACACGGAGUUGUGGGGUGAGCAAUGUAUCAAAAGGAAUGACUGACAUAUUUGAACAACCUCUCAAAAUAAGGGUUGUCAUCAUUAUAUCUCUUCUGGUUUGCCUCGGUCCCCAAUCCCAGCUUAGAUGCCUACCGUCAUCAUUCAUAAAUGAGACCCAUCUUAGUUUGUUUCUCAUCACAUGAGUAUUGAGUUCAUCUUGUUUGAGACGUGGGACACCUUCAGCUAAUUUUGACACACCAGUGAUGACAUCCUGAGAAGUAGUUUCCUCACUUGAUGAAGUGCUUACUGAUGAGGUAGAAACAGCAGAGUAGAUUGGCAGUAAUGAGUAUUCCUGCAAGGCUUGAAUCACGAUCUUUCCAACUUCAUAUGCAGACCUAUAGUAGUUGCUGUGUUUUUGGCUGGUGGCUGGUGGUGUACCGGUGGAGAUUGCUGUUGAGAAAAGCAGGUCCUCAGCCACCCAACAGCGAACCAGCUCAUCAGAGGUAACACAGGAGGCCUGACGUCCAGAAGCUCCUUCUCCUUGUGGCUGGUGGUAGAGGAUACCAUAGUACAGGCAUUGCUGAGCUACGUGGACCCAAAACCUCUCUCCAUUGUGUUGGAUUGCCAUAUAAAUGGAUCUGGCUGCAUCCUGUAUGGCCUCAUUAAUCAACAUAGCCCAAUCUCGGCUACCGAGAUCACUGAAAGAUGGUUCAAAGUAAUAUUCCCGAGUUAAAUGGAUACCCAUGUCACGAUCACCUUCUGCGUCUCUGCUCUUUUCACAAACAUCCUUGGAAGUAACUGAGAUGAGCCAACGCCGGUUUUGGAAUGUCGUCGGCCGACGCCGGCAUAAUAUGAAAGCCAACACGUCCAAUGAGACGGGAACAUGCAGGUUCUCUAGGAGCAGCAGGUGCCUCUUCCCUUCCAAUGCGUCCCAGAUCCUUUGUAGUAAUGGAGUACGACCAUCUUGACGGUCAUAGAUAGGAUCAUUCCGUACGGAUUGAUCUGUUGCAAAGGAUUUAAUGUACCACCGUCCAAAAGCCUGGAGCAUCAGGUUGUCAGAGAUUUUGCCGUAGCCAAAGUAGCUCUCUUCUGAGGCAAGUUGCUUGAGCUCCUGAAGUUGCUUGCUGUCGUCAAGCAUCAGUAUUCCUGUGAGGACCUCAAACGCCAACAGAUGCUGGGCUGUCGCUGUAGUGCUUGAGCUCCUGAAGCUGCUUGCAGCUUCAGCGAGUGGUGGGAGCCUCACGCGUAUAAUUUGGUCAUAGGGUCCAUACAGGUCCUUGGUGCAGUUGAACAAGAGCCUGGUAAUUGUGGGCAAAAAAGAAGCUGCAGGUCCAAUUCCGACGUUCCAUAUCACCGGAUACUCCUUGCUCCAUUCAACUACCUUCUGUUCCAAGGCAGCUAGCCACCACCAUCCAUAAUGAUUCCCGAGCCUCGCAGAAAAUAUGGAACCCGACCUGGAACAUAAGACCUGGUUAAUGCUCGCUCAAGAUGUGGUUAUUAAUAUUAUAAAUAGGAAGUUAAUAAGUUGAUUCCACUGCGCAAAUCAUAUUCAGCAAUGUUCUUUUUUCUGGUCAUUUGCAUCAUUAUAUUGUUCGCAAUUAGCAAAACGAUAUGUAUGCCUUCAAAAAAAAAACCGAUAUGUCUGAACCAACCAGUCUAUUUCUGGUCAUUUCUCAUUGUUUGGUUCUGGUUAACCAGGACCUUGUUUUUACUUUCCAAAAAUUUUGUAAAAUUUUUUCAAGAUUUCCCGUCACAUCGAAUCUUACGGCAUAUGCAUGGAGCAUUAAAUAUAGAUAAAAAAUAACUAAUUACAUAGUGUUUGCCUAUAAUUUACGAGACAAAUCUUUUGAAUCUAGUUAGUCUAUAAUUUGACAUUAUUUGUCAAAUACAAACGAAAUUGCUAUCAUGUUUAUUUUACAAAAUUUUUUACAAUUAAACAAGGCCCGAAUAAGGAUUUGGGUGGAAGUAGCAAGAAUGGGGCCGGGGACGAUGAUUUACUCCUUUCUAAUAUUAUAACAAUUCCAGCUCCCUUUGGUUGUUGCCAAAAUAAAAAAAAGGGAAUAACAUUUGAGGCUCUACCAUGGGUUGCAGACACAAAUAGGAAGGUGCCACAGUAAGGUGACACAAAUAGGAAGCAUCAGUAUCCUGCUGGAGAACGCAUCAGCCAUGGCGUUGAUUCGCUAUCACUGUGUUCCUUGUGCUUCCCUGGUGGGUUAGUUUAUGUUUCCAUUUCCCGAAUGCUAUGAUGUUUGUGUUUAGGCACUGCUAAUGCACACAAGGUCUAUAUCAAUUUCAGUGAAGUAGCCGUGAUAGAAGAAGCCUAGCUUCAUGGCAAUCUGGUUUUCAGUUCGUAAAUUGAACAAAUCUACUGCUAGAAGUCAGAGACAGAGGCACGAUGGCAUUAUUUAAGCUUUAUUUUCAAUUUUUCCAGCAAUGCAAUCACUUUGAAAUAGACAAACACUGAAAGUAACCUCAUGUAUAUAUUGUCAAAAACAAAAAUGUUGUUUUGACGACAUGAAAGUUCUGGAUGAAUCACAAAUAAUGUAUAAUGUCUCCAUGCAUGUUUUGUUUCUAGACAUUUCGGUGUUUACUGCUCUCUCCGUUCUAAAUUAUAAGUGUUGUCUUUUUUAGUAUAUCAAUUUUGGAAUGUAGAGAGUAAUAAGGUAGCUUGGUGAUGUUUUCAGCAGCAAAGCAAUCCGGCCAAACGUCAUAUCGUUGAGGGCCUGUUUAGAUUCAAAAUUGUUUUGGAUUUGGAAAUUCUAGCACUUUCGUUUGUAUUUGGCAAAUAUUGUCCAGUCAUGUCCUAGCUAGGCUCAAAAGAUUCGUCUCACAAAUUACAGAAUACAGAUAAACUAUGCAAUUAGUUAUUUCUUCUAUCUAUAUUUAAUGCUUUAUGCAAGUGCCGUAAGGUUCGAUGUGACGAUAAAUCUUAUAAACUCUUUUGAAAUUUUGAAUGCAUCUAAACACGGCCUUGUUCAUCAGCCACAGUUGAGAAAAUAAAUGCAGUGAAAAGGACAACAAGCAAGUUGUGAUAACGCACCCCAUAAAUUGAAGAGGGUCAUUGAUGAGAUAGUCGACCAAGCGGAAGACAUCACUGAUAGUAUUCAUUUAUGUCUGGCUACUCCCGUCGUCUCCUCGGGCUUCUGCCUAUAGUGCCACCUGAAACAUGUAACGCUGUAAGGGCAUGUACAACGGGUUUGUAAACUCUGUCUGUAUGCAGUAUAUUUUACAAAAAGAACCCUGUUUCUGAGCAGACGAGCUCACUCCGUCGUUUCGCGAGACGACGAGCGUGGCUCGUGGUCCAAGAAUCCCUCGUCUCUCUAGAGUCGCGUUGUAUGGUGGAGUCGACGAGCGAGACGAUCUAGUUGAGGGCGCGCGUGCGGAGGGAGUUGAGGGCGCGUGGGAAUAGAUUUUGCAAGGCAGCGGGCCUCUUCCCCGUUGGAGGCAGAUCCGGCUCUGCACCCGGCCUCCCCUUUGGCCGUGGAUCCGGCGCACCUCUUUUCCCCAUCAGCGGCGGCCAACGGCGAAGCAUCAGCAUCAUCCUCAUCCAUGGCUGCAUCCAGCAUGGAGACUCCUUCCCUAUCAGCGGCUUCACUAGCCACGGUAGUUGUUUCUGAAUUUUGGUUAUCACAUGGCUUUGAUUAUCAGUAGAUUACUGCAUGUUUUUUUUCUUAUGAAAACAGAUCUGAAGUUUUUGCUGCUUUGUAAGAGAUUACUGCAUGUUUCUGAAUUUUGGUUUGUGUGAGCUCGCUGUUUUUUCGUGCCUGUUACUAUCUGCUAGUGGUAAUGCUUUCUGAGUUGCUGUAUGCAACUGCUAUUGUUAGGCAAGUUUCAGUUAUUGGUGCUUGUUACUAUAUACUGCUUUCAGUUUGUGCUAGUUCUGAACUUUUAGUUUUGUGUGAUCGCUGAGAAGUCUCCAAAGUGUUACUGAACUGUGAAAAUCUUAUAUUAUUUACAUGAGCAGCUUUGUUCACUUGUUCAGUUAACUUGUUCUACUACUACUAAUUUGUUGAUUGGUGUGUACAGAACUAGCAGGGAAAAAGUUAAAGAAGGAACCCAUGGUGAAUUUCUGGACACUAUAAGGAUGAUUUUGCUAGUUAUGUUAGUAAUCAGCAGAUGGCAUGAUGAUUUUGCUUGUGACCAGUCUUUUGCUUGUCCUGUUGCCUUGGUAUGCUCGGGCUAGUGCUGUUAUUUGUCUUUUGGGUGUGAACCUGUCUCCUGUGUAUGCACAGGCUAUUCAAAUACUUCACAAGAUACAAGUUCAAACCUAUCUAGCUUAUUCUGUUUAAGUAAUGAAAUUUAUGGAUCCAGGUUCUCAGUUAUUGUGCAUUACGCAGUCAUUUUCUGAAUAUCGUGCAAUCAGCAACUGAUGAACUAGUAUGAGCGUUUUUUUUUGCUAGCGUGAGUUAAAUAUUGGUCUAUGUGAUUAGCUAGCCGCAAAAUGCUAUAUAGGAAUUAUAUUUAUACUUGAUCAUAGAUCCAUGAAAACAUUAAUAGCUUGCAGAUAAUCAAAUAGACAGCCUAUUGUACGAACUGUCUAUUUGUCAGAUUCUAAGAACUUACAGACAACCUCUUGUCUGUGAGUUGUACAUGCCCUAACCAUUUGUUUCUCUCAGUGAAAUGCAUUUCAUGAUCAACAAGAUCAAAAUAAUAUUUAAAUUAUAUAUAUAGAUGUGUAUACAUAUAAAAAUAAUACUAUUGGAGAGGACUUCAGUAAAGAAAGGCAAAUGGUGGGUUAAGUUGUAUAUGCGCAAGUCAGAAAUUAAGAACAUUUUGUAUAUAUACUUCCCUAGCUAUGAUAACAUAUUUUAUUACUAUCAUUGUACAAAUUAUUAAAGAAAUUGAUAGUGCUAUGUUGGAUUUAGAAAUUUUUCCCUAGCAGUGGUAUGGUUUGAUACUGUUUUUGUUAAUUCCUACUCCCUCGAGUCGCAAAUAAGUGAUGAUUUAGAUAUUGACAUGGUCUUCAAAAUAUGAUUUGGUUACUACUUUUUAAAUAUAGUUUAGUAAAACAUAGCACACUUAUAAUUUUACAAAUCUAUAUUUCAAGGCUAAUCCAAUGUUGCUAUAAUUUUCAAAUAUAAAAAACAAUACACACAAGUAAUACAUAUGAAGCAAAUAUAUAAAAGUGUCGACUCAGCUGGACAAUGCAAAGAGUCACUCAUCUUUGAAUAGAGGGAGCAAAUAACAUUAGUAAAAGAAACGGUCAUCAUCUCUGGAAUAUUUUUCUUUUGUAGUCAUGAAAAUAAUUGCAAGUUCGAGAUGCCAAUUAUUCCAAGUGGUUAACUAAAAAAUUGUUUGAGAUAACACUUAUAUCAUAUGGAUUGGAACCGUGUAUGGCAUUUUUUUUCUCUAUGACUGUGAUAUGUUUGGUUGCAUAGUUAGCAAAAAGCUAAAGAAACAUAAAAACUGUGCUCUAGAAAAAAGUGAAUUUGGAAGCAUCAUGUAAACCCACAAAAGGGCGUGUCCCAUUUUUUCUGAACCACGGUUUCAGAGGCAGAAAAGAUUUUUAAAAAUAGGCAGUUGUGCCUAAUAUAACAACUCCAUAAGAUAUAUCAUUUUUCAAGCUAUGUUUGCAACUUAACAUAUUUCAUGCCUCCAUAGUAGAAGCCUAUAAGGAGUGGAAAACUAAAAAUGUCAAUGAAAAAGCAUAUAAAGUAGUUAGUAAUAAUUAACUAAAGCUAAUCACAACUGUAGAAAUGGUAGGUAAUAAAUAUUUGUAUAAGUAUAUACAGUUUUAAGUAUACAAAGAUCAUGCAUGCCAAUAUACUCCCCUCCAUCCUAAAAGGACGAGACAUAAUGUUUUCCAUGAAGUCAAUUAUAAAUAAGAUUAAGUUUAUAAGCAAUAGUAUCAACAUUUAUGUUUCUAAGCACAUGAACUAUGAAACAAAUUACCUCAUUAUAAUCUAAUGAUAUAUAUUUCAAAUCGUAAAUGUUAUUACUUUUUGUAUAGAUUUGGCCAAAUUUGAAAUUUGUUCACUUCUUAGAAACCAACAUGUCCACUCUUUUCUGGCGAGAGAGUACAUGGAAGCAUCGAUAGCAAUGGUCAGGCGUAAUUCCAUGGUACCUCUAGGUAUUUUUUCCAUGAGAUCUUUUACAAUGGUUAGGAAAGUACCAUGGUACCUCCAGGUAUUUUCCAUAGAAAAAAGUCAAAAUAGCUGAGUUUUUUUCCCUUACCUCGCGUGCACUCCGCGAGGGCACGGCACCACCGCCGGAGCGCGGCCCAGCCGGCGCGCGGCCUCUGCUACCGGUGUUGUGGAGCGCCCGCGACCCCGGCUGCGGCGGCGCGGACCAGAUCAUCGACGGCGGCGUCAACGCCAACAACCCACACCUCCGCGGCUGAUGUGACGAGCUCCCUGGCCACGAAGAACUGGUGAACAGCAUCCCAUAGCUGGCACCGUGUGCACUCCGCGAGGGCACGGCACCACCGCCGGCGCGCGGCCCAGCCGGCGCGCGGCCUCGGCUACCGGUGUUGUGGAGCGCCCGUGACCCCGGCUGCGGCGGUGCGGACCAGAUCAUCGACGGCGGCGUCGACGCCAACAACCCACACCUCCGCGGCUGAUGUGACGAGCUCCCUGGUCGCAAUGGCUCCUGUGUCGAUUGCGCCGUCGAUACGGAGAGCACUAUGGCAGAUUACGGUGAAGGAAACAACACCUCCCGAUCUUGGCGUCUCGGGCAAAUUCUGGGAUCCCGAGUCUGAUUCGGAGUGCGAGGACUUGGGCAUGGCGGAAACUCUUGCGUGCUGCGUUGCCGCCCCGACGAUCCAACAGCGUGCAUCAACCCCAACGAUCCAUCAUGAAAGGAUCACGAACAUGCAGCUCCGUCAACCAACGCUGCCAGCUACGACAUCGCCAUCCCCAAAGCCAGUCCGGGCGCCGUGGAAGGGGCUAUGGAGGGGUCCUCUUCCGCCGCGACGAGUCACGCCGGCAGCAAAGCUAGGCGACUUCAUCCGAGAUCCUAAAUCAAAGGAUUUUCAAAUUUCAAAUCCGCGAACAGGGGCGUCUGCACCGGACCCGACACCACCAAACCGACCGAACCGGACCAUGAACGCCACGCGGGAGGCAACACAUCGGGACACCCUGACCCGGGACGUCGCGAUCUAUCCUAUCGCGAAACCGGCUCUCGGUGGACCUAAGCGUCAGCUGAUUGACAUCUCCGCCUUCCAUGCCGUCGCCCCUCAGGCACUCCACGUCGCCGCACCGGUGCUCUCACUCCACGCCGCCGCCCCGGUGCUCUCUUAUCGGGACGCUCUCAUGGCCGGGAACCGGGGCUACUCAAGAGGACGCGCCAUCGCUGGCCAUGGUACGCUGGAUCGCCGUGGCAAGGGGCAUGGCCCCCCUCUAGAUGCCCAUGGCCGAGAUCGCCGUGGCCAGGGACAUGGCCGGAGAGCGCGGGGUUCUCACUCCGUUCAGGCCGAUCCUUGUCAUGGGGAUCUCCCUCUGCCGGGCGCUGCGGCGAACGAGGGACGCGGCCGGGGGGCGUCUCCUCCUUUGGCCGAUACAGAUUCUGUAUGUGGUCGCGGCCGAGGGGACUCCUGGAGCAUCGCCAACAACAACAGAGCGGCAUCUCUCGACGCUGCUGAGAAUGCCCCUGGAUGCAACGGAGCGCGAGGGGGUGCACAGGGUGUCGGACAACGGCCACAAGGCAGUGGUCGGGGUCGCGGCGCCAACGCCGGCAACAACUUUGACAGCUCCUGAAGUGUCUUGGAGGAUGAACAAGGCAAGCAGAAACGAAAGCGCAAGGAACAGUCAGUGAAGCUAGAAUGCAGCAUUUGUACUGAGGACCACUUCACUAAUCUGUGUCCGCUGCUUCGAGGCCCGAAACCCACAGUGGCCUAUUGCGGCGCUGCUGAGGAUGGAAUGGGGUUUUUUCAGAUCCAGGCGGCAAGAAACAAUCAAAUUGUCAUGCCCGUUGUUUCUUCAGCAGCUGCUCUCGUCACGGUGGAGAUGAGAGAGGUAUCUGCUCAAUUGCUCCGCUCUGAACUGGCCAGGAUCAUUCCAAUUCGGUGGGACUGGGAAGUGCAGACGCAAGGAGACAAGUCUUAUGUCGUUCCUUUCCCUAGCAAGGAAGAGUUGGAACGCAUGAUUGCGAUCGGAUCAAUCACUACGAAGAACAAGGAGGGCACUAUUGUUUUUGCUCAUUUCAUUGAUGAUGUCCAGCCAAUAAAAGUUUUGGAGCAGGUCUGGGUAACAGUCACUAAUGUUCCUCGGAUGCUGCAGUCCUUUCUCCCUCUAUGGGCAAUUGGAUCCAUCAUUGGGGCCACUCAAAAGGUUGACAUGGUCCAUCUCCGGGCAACAGGUCAGAUUCGCAUUCGUGUGGCGGUAAUGGAUGUUAAAAAAAUCCCUAAACUGGUUGAUAUUUGUGCAAUUAGUAGUAUUUAUCGCCUAUAUUUUAAACCUGAUGAAGUUGUGCAACCUGAUGCUUCUGACCCUGAGGAUGAUGAUCUUUUGGAUGAUGCUAAAAAGGAUGCUGAUGGGGGAGACCGGGUGAUGGAAGACGCGGAGGGCUCUGAUCCUGCUACUGAAAAUGAUAAUAAUGGCACGUCUGACAAAUCCCCAGCACCUCCUCAAAACAUGCCUCCUCAGCAGCAAGCAUCAUUGGUGGAAAAGGCCCUGGAUACGGCGUGUGAACAACUGAUAGAUGAGAUCAGUUUAAAGGUCAUGCUUGAGUCAGAGGAUGGGGCGGAAGAAGAGUGGACAGCCUAUAAUAAUUUUGUUAAUCACACUAACAAAUUACAACCUUCUUCUAUUUUUUCUAUUCAAUGCUCGGCGAAUGAGGACAUUCUGGUCCAGGACAGCUUGGGGGGGCUCUACAUCACCCUCUUCCCCCCAUGCUGAGAGGCCGGCCUCGACACCCACAGUGAUGAUCGCCACGCUGCCCGCUGCUGCCCUAACGCCGACUCCGGGAGUUGCUGCAGAGGGGACCGGCAACCUAUCUCCGUCCAGUACCCCUACUUCGCCUCCGGGGGGCUCCUUCGCACCGGCUGCUCGCUCCUCCACACCGCCGAGGGAGGCUGCUCGCUCCUCCACGCCACCGAGGGAGGCUGCUCACUCCUCCACGCCUCCUGCCCCUGCUAUGCCAUCGUUGGGGGACAGCACAACCCCUACUGCUCUCGAUGCCACUGCCGCGUCUGCUGGGGGCACCCCACUGCCGUCAGUGGAGGGUGCCAUCGCGCCGACUACCCCCCACUCUCCCACGCUGCUGAAGGGGAGCACCCCGGCCGUCACAGCACUGGGGGGCACCACGGCCCCUGCAGCUUCCCUCAAUAUGGAAGGCGAAGUCACGGGUUGUGAUGCCAAAGACGUUGAGUGGGGCAGCAACAGAGAGUGCAGCACCUACCAAACACACAAUCGUCAAAGAGCCCGCCAAAGAGCUACGCCGCAGUGCCAGAAAUGCGACGAUGGCGGAUGUGCACACCAUGCACAAGGUUGAACGUUUGGCGGCAAAAAAGAAUCUCGAAACAGGUAACUCUUUCUCUAGUUUUCCAGAUUCAAAAAUUAUUUCCAACCUUGGUAGGAUAGGCAUCAACCUAGGCUCCUCAGAUAUAGCAGUAAUUAAAAAUCUAGAGGUAGAUAGGUUGGUCCUCUGUGCUAAGCAAAAAAAGAAUUUAUCGAAACCCAAACUCUCUAAUCUGGAAAGUGAUGAUGAGCGGGAUCGAAGAUCGAUUGGAAGCAGUUCGCAGCCACACUUGUGGUAAUUUAAAUGAGAACUUGCUGGACCAGGAGGAUGAUCAAAUUAUAGAUCUCUCUCCUCUCCAUCGUAAGAAAAAAUAUAACAAUGCCAAAAAUUCAAACAAAGGCAGACUUCCCCAAAAGCGAAAGACCCCUUCCAAAAUUAUUAUAACAUGAAAGGAGUUUUCUGGAAUAGCAGAGGUCUUGCAGACUUGGCUAAACACAGAUUCUUGGCUGAAUUAGUUAAAGAGGAGCAAAUUAAUUUUAUUGCUAUCUCUGAAACUGGGCGGGAUUCUUUCCCGGAUCAUGUCCUCAAAAAUCUUUGUGGGGGUCAUGACUUUAUUUGGCACACCAUGGCUCCUCAUGGUAGGUCAGGGGGUAUUCUGCUAGGGGUGGACCUAAAUAUUUUUGAUAUUGGAGCCAUUGAUGAGGGAGACUUCUAUGUAAAGUUCACCCUCAGAUACAAAUUAAAUGACUUCAAGUUUAAUUUAUUUACAGUAUAUGGACCGGCCCAAGCACAGAACAAAAGUGCUUUCCUAGUGGAACUCGCCAACACCUGCUCCAAAGAAACUCUACCGUAUAUCAUAGGGGGGGGGGACUUUAAUAUAAUGCGAGGUCCUGAGGAUAAAAGUUCAGGGGAUUUUGAUCCCAAAUGGCCUAAUCUGUUUAAUACCGUCAUCGAAUCCCUAGAUCUUAAGGAGAUUGUGAUGUCAGGACGCCAGUAUACUUGGGCGGGGCCAGGGGAUUACCCACCUUUUGAAAAGUUAGAUAGAGUCCUUGUAAGCACUAAGUGGGAAUCCCAAUUCCCGCUGACGACUGUCGAGUCUAGAGACAGAAAUAUUUCAGAUCAUACUCCUCUAGUGCUUAACACAGGAACCUCAACCCAUCAAACCCAAAACCGUCCCUUCAAAUUUGAGAGGGGCUGGUUGAUACGUGAUGGUUUUUUUGACAUGGUUGCAAAUAUUUGGCAAACACCAUGUCCUGAGUCCACCCCGCUUGAACGUUGGCAGUCAAAGAUCCGCAGGCUCAGACAAUAUCUAAGAGGCUGGGCUAAAUACACUGCCGGAACGUAUAGGAAGGAGAAAAAAACCCUGCUAUCCCGUUUAGAGGUGCUUGAAAAGAAAGCGGAGGUCACUCACCUUUCUGAUCAAGAGAUUAAUCUUAAACACUAUCUAAAAGAGAGACUGGUUACCCUUCUGUGAGAAGAGGAACUGAAAUGGUAUGAGCGAGCCAAAGUCAAAACCUUAUUGGAGGGAGAUGCUAAUACUCGCUUCUUCCAUCUAGUGGCCAAUGGGAAACAUCGUAAGCAACACAUCUAUAAACUUGAAGAUGAUCAAGGCACGGUUGUUGGCGAUGAGCGCCUCAAAGGCCAUAUUACUACCUAUUAUAAAAAUCUCUUCGGGUCACCGGAACACUCCGACAUCACUCUUAUGGAAGAUCAAUAUUUAGAUAUUCCACAAGUAUCUCCGGAAGAAAACGAUAUCCUUAUUAGCCCUUUCACUGAAUCUGAGGUGAGGGACGCGGUAUUCCAAAUGGAGCAUAAUAAAGCUCCAGGCCCGGACGGAUUCCCUGCGGAAUUCUAUCAGGUGUUUUGGGGAGUUAUCAAGGACGACCUCCUACACCUCUUUGCUGAUCUCCAUCGAGAGGCUCUUGAUCUUCAUAGCUUGAAUUUUGGAAUAAUUACUUUAAUUCCAAAAAUUCAAAAUGCUACUAAAAUUCAGCAAUAUAGACUGAUUUGUGUCCUCAAUGUGAGCUUUAAAAUAUUCACAAAAGUAGGCACAAACAGGCUGAAUAUGGUCGCAAAAACCAUAGUGAGCCCAACACAGACUGCCUUUAUGCCGGGCAGGAAUAUCAUGGAAGGAGUAGUGAUAUUGCACGAAACUAUUCAUGAGUUACAUACUAAAAAACGAGAUGGGAUCAUCUUCAAAAUUGAUUUCGAAAAGGCAUAUGAUAAGGUCAAGCGGUCUUUCUUACAGCAAACCUUACGUAUGAAAGGCUUCUCCCCUAAAUGGUGCAGGUGGGUAGAGAGUAUGGUCACUGGUGGAAGUGUGGGGAUCAAAGUCAAUGAUGAUGUUGGCCCCUACUUUCAGUCCAAACGUGGUCUCAGACAGGGAGAUCCUAUGUCCCCCAUUUUAUUUAACAUCGUCGCUGAUAUGCUAGCUCUUCUUAUUAAUAGAGCAAAAGCCGACGGACAAAUAAGAGGAGUCAUUCCCCACCUUGUUGAUGAUGGUUUAUCUAUUCUACAAUAUGCUGAUGACACCAUUAUCUUCUUAGACCAUGAACCAGAGCAGGCAAAGAAUCUGAAACUUUUGCUAUGUGCUUUCGAGCAAUUAUCUGGGCUUAAGAUCAACUUCCACAAGAGCGAGAUUUUCUGCUAUGGAGCAGCUAGAGAGAUGGAGCCUUAUUAUACUAGUCUUUUUGGGUGUAAUGCAGGGAAAUACCCCUUCACAUACCUGGGAAUCCCAAUGCACAAUAGACAGCUCCUGAUUGGAGAAGAAUAGAAGAACGAUUCCAAAAAAGACUCUCCUGCUAGAAGGAAAAAUACUUGUCGUAUGGAGGAAGGCUGGUCUUGCUAAACUCCGUCUUAAGCAGUCUGUCUAGGUUUAUGAUGUCCUUCUUUGAGAUUCCUAAAGGAGUACUCAAGAAUCUUGACUUUUUUAGAUCAAGGUUCUUCUGGCAAGGAUCCUCAGACAAGCAUAGUUAUAGACUUGCCAGAUGGGACAUUUUGUGUCGUCCUAAGGACCAAGGGGGUCUACGUAUCCUAGACUUACAAUUGCAGAAUAAAUGCUUAUUGUCCAAGUGGUUGGUGAAUCUACUCAACACAGAGGGCUUAUGGCAGACCCUGCUGAGAAAUAAAUACCUACGAUCGAAAACACUUACCCAAGUCAAAGCCAAACCAAAUGAUUCGUAUUUCUGGAGAGGCCUCAUGCGUAUUAAAGAUGAGGUAUUGGCUAAAGGUUCCUUUGAUGUUAAAGAUGGAACCAAAACGAGGUUGUGGGAAGACACAUGGGUGGGAGAUAAGCCGCUAAAAGUAAAAUACUCCUCCCUUUUUAAUAUUGUACGUGAUCGCCACGCAACUGUAGCCAAAGUGCUCUCCACUAGUCCCCUGAACAUCUCCUUUCGCAGGGCACUGGUGGGAAAUAAACUUGUACAAUGGCUCAAUUUAGUAGCAAAAAUUUCUAGUGUUCGAUUGGUGGCGGGUUCGGACUAUUCUAGAUAGAACUUAACCAAAUCUGGGUUAUUUUCUGUUCGUUCGCUGUAUCUACAUCUCAUUGAUACAAAACCACCUUUUGCCCACAGGAAACACUGGAAAAUAAAAAUUCCUCUAAAGAUCAAAAUUUUCCUUUGGUUCCUACAAAGGGGUGUUGUUCUAACCAAAGACAACCUCACUGGAAAGAAUUGGAAAGGGAGCCAGAAAUGUGUCUGGUGUAAUAAGAAUGAGACUAUCCAACACUUAUUCAUUGAUUGCCCUUUCACCAAGAUGAUUUGGAGGAUUAUUUUCUUUGCUACUAGUUUAACUCCACCUAGAUCUAUUAACCAUAUGUUUGGUGCAUGGCUUUCUAAUCAGAAUAGGAAGCUUAGAGAUGUGAUCUGGGUUGGGGUUGCUGCCAUGUGUCGGGCCAUCUGGCGCUGCCGGAAUGAUGUUAUUUUUAACAAUCUCAAAACUAACUCUUUUAUGCAGGUUAUUUUCAAGGGAGCGUAUUGGCUCCGCUUUUGGGCCCCACUGCAGCGUGAUGAGCAAACCAAGGACGUACUAUCUUCGAUAAGCAAGACAUUAGAGAUUAUUGCUUUAGAGAUAUCUCAUAAAGGCUGGAAACAUUUUUAUUGUUUACUUUAGAGUCCUGGUCAAUGUCUCAGACCAUGGUUUGCUUUCACUCCUUUCUAAUCCCAAACAUUGUAAUAAUUGGCUGUGUAUAUCCCUGGAUGUAGAGGCCGGAUAUUGUUUUUAUCUCUUAUCUAAAAAAAGGUAUUUUCCAUAUUUUUCUAUUUUCCAUGUAAUUAGUUAAGAAAUAUAUUUCAGCGGGUACUUUACUAUCAAUUACACUUCUCCAUCUAUAGAGCUUGGAUUCAUAUGAACCGGCUAAGUGCACGACGUCUGCGAAUCAAGAUUCCAAACUGCGCCGCCUCAGCCUUGGCGCACACGGAUCCUGAGGCAGCCUAGCUCGCGGGCGGCACGCGACACGGCAGAGGGCGCAGUGUCACAGCAGCGAUGGUGCAGACCACCGUGAGGGAGUACAGGGAAGCAUGGAUAGCAAUGGACACAAUUAUUGCCACUGUUUGUUUUGGAAUCAUGAAAACAAUUUUCAGAAAGAGAUUUGCUACAGUGCACAAAAGCAGGAACCGCUGGUUCCUAUGGUCCAAAUUUGUUUUGAGCCAUUCAUCUUCAUUAAAGAAAAAGUUAUGCAUUUAUGUCCAAAAAGUUAUGUCCAAAUUUGUUUCCGGCCUUUUUGACUGCACACCAAGUUUUUAAAAGGUUUUCAGCAAAGUUUUUGUGUCUGACUGCACAUAGCAAGCCAAGUUUUUUAAUGUUUUAAAAGGUAUUCAGCUAAUGAGCUGAUAAAAUUUAAAGGAAAAGGUGACACAAACAAAUUUAAAGAUUUACACAUACCAAUGCAAUGAGAAUAUCAAUGCUGCUAAUUUGUAAUUGUGUUUAAUAUAGUUCAUAAUUCAUACAGAAUUAUAAAUGUGCAAUUGUGCAUUAGUGGAAGCCGUGGGUCUAUUGAGUUUAAUUGUUUAGCACAGAGUUGCGAGCUACCCAUACCUGGUAAAGUUAAAUUAGAAAACAGAAAUCCAAAUGAUAAAUCCGUAGCUAAACAGGUCAGGCACAGCAUGUCACAAAUGUUCCCAUAAUUUCUGGAAAUCCAAGAUCAUUGAGGCACAUGGAUCAUGGCCUAAUCUGCAGAUAAAAUAAAACAUAAAUUCAGUAAACGCAAUGCAGUUAGCACAGGAAGUCAAAUUCCCCCGUUGCAAAGGUCAUUCUCAAUGAGGUUCACACCGAUGUGUUAUCACUAGUAAUCCAACUAUCCAAGUACCAACAACACUGGCUACUAUAGAGACAAUGCUGUGUGAUAUGAUAAUUUAACAAAAAGUUUUAUUGAAAGUGUACCUGGAUUCUGUCGAUCCAGCAUUGUGCCUUUCAGUUGAGGAGUCUACCAAUAUUAUAAUGUGAGAUUGUGAAUGCCACGGCGUUCAGAGAUUGCAAGAACCAACAGGCGUGAGUGUGUGAGGUGCAGCAACUAAAACAAGGACCAGCCUGGUUGUACAGGAACAAUGUAUAUAUUACCAUAUCAUGGAUGCUUUUCUUUACCAUACAGCUGGAUACAUGGACAAGUAAGGAAUGAUGCUGCAUCAUCUUCUGACAAAGCUCGACAUGCAUAUGCUAUGUCAUGAUGCGAUGAUGCAAACCACAAGCAAAGGAACAGAGGAGGACACUGCUUUCACUUUCCUACUAAUUAACUAAAGGGAAAGGUAAAGAAACGCUCAAACAAAUACCGUGUACGAAGUUGAAUGAACAGGUAAAACGACAUGGGUGAAAGCAAAGUUAACUAAUAAGGGGACCUUAAAUGGCGCCAUGGGGAUGCUGGGCAAGGGCUGAGAGCGGCAGACUGGAGUACAAGGGAAGGACGACAACUAACAAUUGCUUUCACUUUGUAACCGAGUCCUUCAAAAAAAAAGUGUGAACUUAUAUAUCAAAAUAAAAAUAAUCUAGCAGCAGCUUUUACAUACUCCCUCCAUCCCAAAUUAUAAGUCGUUCCAAGAAUCUUGGAGAGUCGAAACAUCUUAAGUUUGACCAAAAUUAUAAAAAAAAUUACAAAGUUUUCUGGCAUCAAAUAGAUAUACUAUGAAAAUAUAAUUAAUGAAGAACCUAAUGGUACUUAGUUAAUAUCAUAAAUGUUAUUAUCGUAUCAUAUAAUUUUGGUCAAACUUGAGAUGCUUUUACUCUCCAAGAUUGUUGGAAUGACUUAUAAUUUGGGAUUGAGGGAGUAAUUUAUAAGAUAGAAAACAAAAAAAAUUUCUUUCGCUCCAUUUUUCCAUGGUCAGUAUCAUGUUUAUGUUAGAUACUCAGUUUACAGUUUACAGAUUAGAUUGGCUGCUUAAAUAGCACAUCAGUGUACAGUUUCCAAAUUAGAUAGGAUGCUUAAAACAGUGUUUUUUCUUUAAUUAUUUUAAGCUAUCCUAAAAAUAAUUAUUUGUAGUAUCUAUGGCUAAAAUGCAAACGGUUAAGAGCUGUCUGUAUGUCGGUCUACUGAAUUUAUGGCUAUAUGGUAGCUGAAGGUUUUGCUCAAGUUUUUUUAAAAAAAAACCGGGGAACAGGUUUAUGUUCAAGAGAGGCUACCCAAAAUCUUAAAUAUUGCAUUCCAUUUUGUGCACUGUGACCUUGCAGCAAACUUACUGGUAAAAAAGAGCUGCUUGGGAGCUUCCCUCGAAAGGAGUCUUUGGCAAGGUUUUCAAGGUGAGAUGAAAGAAACCAUUCAAGGACAGUUUAUAAAAAGUUCAAAAAGUGAGAUGAGAAACCAUUCACUCUUUAAUGUUAGGUAUACAUAUCAUUGAAUAAUCGGUGCAAAUUUUGUUACAGAUUGAAUAUGUUUAAGCACACUAUCCAUUUUGUAUUAUUGUAAAAUAGUUGAUUAUAUAUUUUUUAAAGAAACUAUGAACAUCUGCUGUAAUAUGAAUGAGACUAUCCAACACUUAUUCAUCGAUUGCCCUUUAACCAAAACAAUUUGGAGGAUUAUUUUCUUCGCUAGUAAUUUAACCCAACCAAGAUCUAUUAGGCAUAUGUUUGGUGCUUGGCUUCGCAACCAAAAUAAGAGGGUGCGAAGUUUGAUCUGGGUUGGGGUUGCUGCCAUUUGCUGGGCUAUUUGGCGAUGCCGGAAUGAUGUUAUUUUCAACGAACUCAAAACUAACUCUAUUAUGCAGGUUAUUUUCAGGGGAGCAUUCUGGCUUCGCUUCUGGGCACCUCUGCAGCGUGAUGAGCAAGUUAAAGCCAUCCUUUCGACGAUAAGCAAAAAGUUGUAGAUUAUCGCCUUAGGCAUUUCAAAUAAAGGAUGGAAAUAUUUAUAUAGUUUAUUUUAGUUUGCUGGUCAAUGUUAAAGGCCAUGGCUUGCUCUUUACUUUUGUAUCCAAAACUUUUACAAUGGUUGGGGGUAUUUUUUGGUUCCUCUUGGUUCCUAAUUAAUUUAUUAGUACUAAUUAAUUUUAUGAGUGAAAGGUUAGUAGUGUAAUUGUGCCUCUCUCUCCUGCCGCAACCCCUCGCCAUGCCCACGCGCACCAGUACACGCACGCACUCGGCCAGGCCUCACCGUGCCCACACUACCCUGCCCUCCUCGCACUCUCCAUCGGCAUCACGCAUCGCCGCUGCCUCGCCCUUGCCAUCGCACGUCGUGCCCUCACCAUCGCGCGGCGCCAUCGCUGCCGCUUGCCGCAGCCUGCCCUUGUCCUCGCGCAGCGCUGCCGCCGCCGGCGGCGGCCUGCCCUUGGCCGCGCUCGUCUCUCGUCGCCAUAGGUUCUGUUGUCUGUGACUGCUUGAAUGGCAAAGAAAGAUUAAGUUCAAUGCAUUUCAGCUUUUACCCAUAGCUUCUCAUCUCCGACUUUUUCUCCUUGAAAUUGUCUUGGACUGCUAAUUGAUGGUAUAAUGCUGUAUAGAACGAACAAAUACUACCUUCCGUUGUUGUUACUUGAUAGCUAAACUAGCCAGAAUUGGAGUUUGGUUAAGCCAGUUAAAAAAUCGAUAAUGGUGGAGUCACUUCACUUGGCCAUGGAUCAGCAUUAGGCCAAAGCAGCUCGUGACAAGCAGACAGCCCUGAUCUUGCCGCCCGCAUCGGCAGCAGGGACGGCUGCCACCGCCACCAAGGGGAGCACGGACGCUGUCAACCCUGAUCUUGCCUCCUCCAACGCAUCGCUAGAUGUACGUGGUGCCGCCGUUCGCAGGGGACUGGUGAGGACAGAUUGCGUGCCCUAGCCGCCGCAGCCCUACCCUCGCGCGUGCGCUCGCCCUCGCCCUGGCAACCGACGCCGCUGCAACAGGAAGUCUCGGUGAGAAGGAAGAACAGAGAGACGACAGGGUGGCUAGGGUCGGCGAAUCUCACAAAUACAUGUGACAAACUAUACUAAUUCAGUCUUUCUUAUCCUACCUAAAUAUUAUUUUUAUAUUAUAAAUUUACCAUUUUACCCUUAAUUAUAUGAAAGAAAUUCGAAAAUACAAUUAUCGCAUUAUUUUUUUAAGGUACUAAUCCCACUAAUUUUAGUAUGCACUUGGUGCCUUUUCAAUAGGUUCCUCUUGGUUCCUCUGACUUUUUAACCGUCGGAUUGCUCCUUGUGAGCCAUCUAUUUUUCGACAACCAUUGUAAAAAUCCUCGAAAAAUUAAUAUCACCCAUUAAUAUGAUUAUUUUUCAAGCGCACGUACUUAAUAGGAGUAAUUGCUUGAUUCCUUCUAUGUGCAUGGGAAAUCUAUGUCAAUUGCUAGUUUGCUACAUAUACUGCUCUCUUGAUCUGCUCUACUCAUCACCAAGACAAGAACUCGUAACGACUGCAAGUACCCUCUGCUCAAACAGCAACCACAUCAGCGUCUCCCUCCAUCGUCAAGCAGAACGGCGUUGUCAUAUAUGCCUGCCUCUGCUUUCGGCACGUUGUCAUCAUGAAGAACAAUGAAAAGAGGCGCCACCUCCGCCUAUUGCUCUGUCCAUUCUCUUCUUGUGCAUAUUGAUUGUUUGCACAGCAGCAUACAAGAAAUCCCUGCCACGUGAGACCGAUGAUGGACCCAGUUCCGUUAGUGGAGUAGGAUCGGAGACUGGUCUCGUGGGAGCCUCAAGCACCAGAGAGAGAGGGUGAAUGGGAGCCUCAAAUUUUCUCCCGAAAAUAUUUGGCCACUGUCCCGAGUUCACCGCCAAACGCGCAACAACUUCAAAUCUAGAAUACUCACGGCAACUGGUGACACAAGUACCUAGAGAAAUUCCUUAGGGCUAUAGAAACUCAAUGCAACAGCCGAAAUGCAAAUCGGAGUCCAAACAACCAAGUUGUGCACAAAACGGAAAAUCAGGACAAGAGAAAAAUCAUUAGAAAAUCACCAAGAAAAACGGACAGAGUAACGGCUUAAAAAUGGAGCACUCUAUUUUACCUGGAUCCCUGCAAAACAAAUCACUAAAUUGGAUUUGCUCGGCACUCGAUGGUGCACGGCCUACCAAUCAGCUACAACACUAACCACACCUGCAGAAGAUGAGAGCAUACACAGUACAGAAUUCCAAAGCCGAAGUCUUGACUGGCCUCUUCAAAGUAAAGCACUGAACACACCCGCUGAACGAGCACCAACAGGCACCAAACGAACUUGUUCACAAAGCCGGAAACAAGGAGAAGGAGAAAAACAACAGGAACAGCCGACCUUGUCGCCAAUUUCUUGCUUCCUGUGCUUAACGUGAAUAUAGAUGAGCAAGCAAUGAUUGGGCACUGUAGCUUGAAAAUGACACCUUAAGAAUUGGAAAAACAAAACACGAAUAGCAAAGCUCUUAGUACUAGACACAAACUGCUGAUGCAGUAAAUCUGCAAGAGGAAAUUCCAAGUAGUACUGCUGCCCUGCUGAUCACGAGUGAAUAUCUGGGCCCAAGUGAAAGCACUGCUUGGUGCUUGGCCGAUCAGAGACGCUGGCAGCGCUUCUGUGCUGCUUCUCUGCAAAUCGAAACAGGGAGAGAAACCAAGGCCUUCUUUAGUUCGCGACAAUUUUUGAAUUUCGCUACUGUAGCACUUUCGUUUUAAUUUGAUAAUUAUUGUCCAAUCAUAACUAGGCUCAAAAGAUUCGUUACGGAAAUUACAUGUAAACUGUGCAAUUAGUUAUCUUUUUUAUCUAUAUUUUAUACUUUAUGCAUAUACCGCAAGAUUCGAUGUGACGGUAAUCUUAAAAAUUUUUGGAAACUAAACAAGGCCCGACAGAGACCAGUGAACGAACGCAAGAACAUAAAGGCUGCGUUCGGUUGCCAUGGUUUUGAUCCAGGAACCAUUCCAGCUUAUCAAAACUAUGUAAAUUAAUGAAGCAAAUCCAUCUGGAAUCAUUCCAUGACCCCAAACCGGAUCAACUGAACAAAGUCGAAGGGAGCUCGGUCAAACGACGCCUGGGUUGCCGUGUCCGUACAACGGACCAUGGAGGUCUCACAGCGGAGGGUCUGCUCUCCGAUGCGAUGGACUUCGACGAGCGCUGCAGCUGCCGGGGCUUGAGCACAGAACUACUAGGCGCUGAGCCUGACUGCAUCGGUGACCAACGAAGCCUAUACCGAUGCUGCCAUCUCGAGCUCGAACGCAAGAACAGCACGAACAGAAAAGAAAAGCAGAUCUCUCUCUCGAAACAAAAGCUUUUGAGCUCAGAAUUUGCACAGAUGCAACUCAACUAGCAGCGAACCAAUUCCCAAAAAAUCAUUGUCUGAAGUCAAUCCAAACUCCGGGGCUGCACGAAUUGGGGAAGAACGAAAAGGAUCACAUAAACAAAAACACGAAGAAAACUGAUUCAGGACACCAUGAUUUCAAAACCCAGAGGGCAACGUGAGGUAAAGACCCCACUUACCAAAAUAAAACAUCAGUUGAAUACACAGACAAGUGCCUCUCUCUGGUAACAGAAAAUGAAACCCUACCCUAAGAAUCACGAAAAUGAGUGGGGAGAGAGGUAGAGUAGCUUGGGGGCAGCCCCCUCUCUUAUUUAGAGGCUAUUUUAUAUUCCCCAUUUGCCCCUAGAUAUUUAGAAACGAACUAGCUAGCCCCUGGGGCAUUCUAGUCCAACUCUUUCUCUCUCGAUCCGACGGCCACCACGCCUCCUCAUCGGUAGCUUCGACUCGACGCGAACUCCCCGAUGCUGCCACGUGUCGUCCGUUCCUGAGAACCUCCGCCCGGGUUUUAAGGCCCAAAGCCACGAAACCCGCCGCGAGUAGCGUACUCUAUACACUUCCCCGCCACUCGACACGUGUCACCGCCGUCCUCGAUCGGUCGACCCGCCAAGUCCUCCUGAGCCUCGCUUGACUCGCGUCUGCCGUCUUGACUUGGUCAACACUGUCACUCCCAUGUACACUUGCACUUGUCGAUGUCCCAGAUGUCAGCCACCGCGGCUGGUCACUUGGCCUCCUGGUUCAUCGGUCCAAGCCUCACGUCCGCCUUUCACCGCUCCGGGUCCAUUGGCACGGCACGUCUCUACUUGACCGUCACCUCGCCUUCGACCACCGCCUCUGAGCUCCACAACUGCACACCACGAGCCAAGAGACAUGUCGCACACAUAGCUUUCACUAUAGUAAUAUUAGUUGCCAACUCAACCUAUUCGUGGAUCACGUUGACAAUCACUCAUCACAAAAACAAACCACACAGGUACUUGUCGACCUUGUGUUCGCAGAGCCUAAAGCAAGCUGGGCUGGUCUGAGCCUCUGACCUCCAUAGCAGGGGCACGUGAACGGCUCAAUCACAGGUUCAAGACUAACUCUGUGUUCUCAAUUACGGGCAACACUGAUCAAAUCUAGAUUCAUGGAAAUUUUAAAAUCUUGAGAAAACUUAGAGGACACUGAAUAAAACUCUGUGUUCUUAGCUAUGUGAGUGAGGCGCACUGCACUAAUUAUAUUGGUAACAAUUAGAGCAUGCAACAGCCAUCGUGCAGUGGGGAUCCAUUGUCUACGUGAAAUGUGAGUAUAAUUGACAUUGUCAAACAACAGAUACACCAAUGUCAAAAGAAAAGCCUCACGUAUUUGCCCAUAUAUUUGUGUUCCCAGCCAACCAAACAAGGACAAAAUGCGAAAAUAACAUUAAGCACCAUGGGAAUAGUCAAUGAACCCACAACAUAUAAAAUUACAAAAACAGAGUACAUUAACUGUUACAAAUUACAAAGAGUCCCGUUUGUUCUCACUUCUCAGCACACCAGUUCAUAACUCCAUACACAUACAGCUUGGUUUCAUGGCAACCUGAAACCGCCAAUUAUUAACACAUAAACAGAAUCCAAACAUGUUGAGCAAACCAGCACAAAUAUGACAUGUCCCUUGGCAAACAUUACCAGAAGAAAACAAACACACUCAUCACAAAGCACGAUACAAUACCACAAACUGAGAGGGCAACUUAAUUGUGUGCUUGUUGGCACAGAGCUCUGCAUCUGAAACCAAACUGAUCACCUGAGAUAGCUUUCAAUGAUAUGUUUCUUGCGUGAUACAAACUCUGGUGGUGCCACAUGCAAGUUGUAGUAACUCUGCUCUGGUAGCUUCAACUGCAACCUGUUCCACCACUCACGCUCUCCGUUGACUCUCACCUCGUACUUUGGAUAUUUCUUCUUCAUCAGGAAUGGGAGAUGGCGAAAGGAUUGGCAACCCCGGACAAAGAGCUUCUCCCACUUUGGCGUUUCAAGCUGAAAUUUAACAACAUCAUGGAUGUGCAGCAGUUGUGGAAGCUCCUGGAGGUAGAUACUUUUGAUGCUUGGGAGUGGAGAAGGUGCUACCCUAGAUCCCUGUUUGUAGAAAAUUGUCUUGUGGUUGGGGCAGAAGAGAAUGACCAGAGUCUCCAGUGCAGGUAAUGAUAAACUACGUGGGAACAUUUUCUCCAGUCGUGGGCAGUGCUCCAGGUGAAUGUGUUUUAGUAGCUUCAAAGUGAUAAGCUUGCCAUAAUACCAAGGCACAACAUGCUCAACAAUGCAUAGGAGGUUGUUAAGGCAGGAGGCCUGCAGUAUCCUUAGGGAAUGUAAUAUCUCUGAUUUUCAAUAGUACUGUUAUUUGAUUGCACUGAAGGAGCUGGCAUUCUUCUAGUGUCAUGAGACUAUUACUGAGGUCAGUGAGGCAUCUGACGAAAUUAUCAUCUGUAAUGAAUAUUGAGUUUGUCACAGAGAGAAUAUGCCUUAAGCCAUUUGGGUACUGAUUCACAGCUGAUAUCUCAACAUGACGUUGUUUUGGCUGAAGCUUCAUUGCCGACACAAUACUAGCAGCCUUAGAAUACAGGACAUCACCAUAAGUUGAAUUCUUCUGGAUCCUAGUAGAUAACUCAGCUUCAUUGUUCUGUGGCUUCUUGCCUGUCACACUGCAUGGUUUAACUUGGACAUUGAAUGACUGUAGAAACUGUCCUUGGUUGACUAACUUUUUAGCAGUAUCUUCAUUGAAGCUAUGGAACAUUCUGGGGUCAUUUAUUUUGACCUGAGCAGUAUUGGUAGUUUUCUCUUCCUGCUGAUUUUCAUCUCCACAAGUCUUCAGCUGGCAACACAUCUUCAGAAUUCUAUUAUCAUCAUUUGCACAGUGAUCCAAAUAGAAAACCUUAGGAAACCGGACCAACUGAUGCCAUGGGAAUCUCAUGAAACAAGGGACGCCAAGAAGAAGUAACUUGUUGAGUUGUGGUAGAUUUGGGAGGUUGUGAGGGACCUCCUCAAUAGCAGUUCCAGAAAGAUCAACAUCCUCCAACGCUGUAAGAUCAUCACUGAAGUUCACAGAUUUGAGGUUGCUGCACCCACGCAGGGACAGGCACCUAACCCAUGGUCCGGAGAGCGAGAAGGUUCUCAAAUUUGGGUGCCCAAGAAUCUUGAUAUCUUCCAAUGCUUCCCAUGCUCGUAUAUUAAGGUUUUCCAUGAAUGAUGGUAGUUCCCAUAUAUUCUGAAGCAUUAACCCAGUGCAGUUAGAGAUAUGUAGCUCUUUGAGGCCUUUGGCUUUAGACAGCGACUUCAGGAGUGACUUUAAGCUACUGCAAUUAUAGACAUGUAGCACUUCCAGGACCUUGGCUUCAGAAAUGGAUAUUGGUAAUGACAUCAAUAGCAGGUUGUUGAUUAACCUGAGUGUAUGCAGGCUUUGCAUUUUUUGGAACAUGUCCACUGGAAAAGAGGUAAUCUGAGUCCCCUCGACAUGAAGAACCAACAGAUUUGACAGUUGAGCCAUUGAAGGAGGUAACUCUCUGAGAUUGGAGCAAUUACCGAAAAUGAGCUCCUCAAGGCUUGACAUUUCACAGAAGAAUUCAGAAGGCAGGGUGGUGACCUUUGAGCCUGAUAGGUCAAGGUAGUGCAGAUUGCUCUUGUUACUGCCAUCUUCUUGUGUUAGGUCAACCAGGGGAACCCCAUUCAUAUCUAGGACUUGAAGGUUUUCAAGAUGAGCAAGCGGUGAGGAUGUUUCUUUGUCAGAAUUUGGUGGUGGUGGAGACAAGGUUUCUAGCAGGGAACAGCCUCUGAGCGAGAGCAAGUAGAGAUUCAACAGAGAUGAAAAGGAAUAAGGGAGUGAAUUUAUAGGUGUGUAGGACAAAUCAAGGACACGGAGGUGUGGGGUGAACAAUUUCUCGAAGGAAAAUUCAGAUAAAUUUGAACAGCCUCUCAAAAUAAGGGUUGUCAUUAUUAUAACUCCAUCUCCUCUGGUAUCCCUCGGCUCCCAAUCCCAGCUUACAUCCCUACCAUAAUCAUUCAUAAAUGAGACCCAUCUUAGUUUGUAGUACUCGAAAUAGGUAUUGAGUCCAUCUUGUUCGAGACGUGAGACACCCCUAGCUAACUUUGACAGGCCAGUGAUGACAUCCUGUGGGGAUGACGAAUAAGUAGUUUCCUUACUUGAUGAAGCCCUUACUGUUGUGUUAGAAACAGCAGAGUAGAUUGGCAGCAAUGAAUAUUCCUGCAAGGCCUGAAUCACGACCUUCCCAGCUUCAUUUGCAGACCUGUAGUAGUUGCUCUUUUUCUUGCCAAUGGCUGCUGGCGUAUGGGUGGAGAUUGCUGUUGAGAAAAGCAGGUCCUCAGCCACCCAACAGCGAACCAGCUCAUCGGAGGUAACAACAGCUGGGGAGGCCUGGCGUCCAGCAGCUCCUUCUCCUUGUAGCGGAUGGUAGAGGAUAGCAUAAUACAGGCAUUGCUGAGCUACAUGGAGCCAAAACUCCUCGUCUCCUUUGUCCUGGAGUGUGAGUGUCAUAUAAAUGGAUCUGGCUGCAUCCCGUAAGGCCUCUUUAAUCAACACAGCCCAAUCUCGCACACCGAGAUCAUCAAAAGGCGGGGCGUAGAAAUAUUCUGGAGUUAAAUGAACUCGCUCUGAGUGAUUGAAAUCAUGAAAUCCUUGAGCAUAUCUGCUUUUUUCACAGACAUCCUUGGAAGUGGCUGAGAUGAGCCACCGCCGGUUUCGGAAUAUCGAUGGCCAUCGCUUGCCCAGUAUGAAAACCAACAUGUCCAUUGAGACGGGAACAUGCAGGUUUUCCACUAGCAGCAGGUGCUUCUUCCCUUCCAAUGCUUCCCCGAUCCUCUCUAGUACUGGAGAAAUUCUUGGUUGACAAUGGAAGAUAGGAUCCGUCUUUACAGAUUCAUCUGAUGCAAACAACUCAAUGUACCUGCAUCCAAAAGCCUGGAGCUUCAGGUAGUCUGAGAUUCUGCCGUAGCCAAAGUAGCUCUCUUCUGCGGCAAGUUGCUUGAGCUCCUCAAGUUGCUCACUGUCACCGUCAAGCAUUAAUAUUUCGGUGAGGACCUGAAAUGCCAACCGAUGCUGGGCUGUACUGCUGCUUGCAGCUUCAGCGGGUGUCUGCCUCACGCGUGUAAUGUGGUCAUAGGGACCAUAGAGUUCCUUGGUUCGCUCAAACAAGAGCCUGGUAAGAGUCGGUACAAAUGAAGCUGCAGAUCCAAUUCCGACAUUCCAUAUCACUGGGUACUCCUUGCUCCAUUUC
rnacentral:lncRNA from 1 species